rnacentral:lncRNA from 1 species
UUUCCUCAAGAGGACCAAGUAGAGCUAGUCCUGGCAUCUUGAAACCUGACAUAAUCGGUCCUGGUGUUAAUAUCCUUGCUGCUUGGCCUACCUCCGUGGAUGACAACAAGGACACCAAAUCCACAUUCAAUAUUAUAUCAGGCACCUCAAUGUCUUGCCCUCACCUUAGUGGCGUAGCAGCUCUGCUGAAGAGCACACAUCCUGAUUGGUCUCCUGCAGCUAUUAAGUCUGCAAUCAUGACAACUGCUGACACGUUAAACCUUGCCAAUAGUCCAAUACUAGACGAAAGGCUCCUUCCUGCUGACAUUUUUGCCACUGGUGCAGGACAUGUUAAUCCAUCGAGGGCAAAUGAUCCAGGACUAGUUUAUGAUACCCCAUUUGAGGACUAUCUACCUUAUUUAUGUGGUUUGAACUAUACGAAUCGACAGGUAGGUAACCUGUUACAACGCAGGGUGAAUUGCUCGGAGGUGAAAAUUAUCCUUGAAGCACAAUUAAACUAUCCUUCAUUUUGCAUAACUGAACUUGGAUCAACUCCUCAGACAUAUACAAGAACUGUGACCAACGUUGGUGACGCUACAUCAUCUUACAAAGUGGAGGUAGCUUCACCAAAAGGCGUUGCCGUGGAAGUUAAGCCCACAGAGCUAAAUUUCUCCGAGUUGAACCAGAAGUUAACAUACCAAGUGACAUUUUCCAAGACAACUAGCAGCUCAAACUUUGUGAUUGUUGAUGGAUUCUUGAAAUGGACUUCUAAUAGACACUCAGUGAGAAGUCCAAUUGCAGUUGUGUUAGCCUAGUCAAAAAUUGGCUUUAUGAGUGCAUAAACUACUCAUACAUUUUAUUUUACUGAAAAUACUGUUUGUUUAUCGUUAUUUACUUCAUGUGAGUAAUUUGGGUACAUGUGAAAAAGUUUCGUAAUGGUGAAGAUAUGAAUGACCGCAUAGUAUAACGAUAACACUAUUAAAUGAAAGUUAAGAAAAAAAUAUUUUUGACUCUUUUACCAACUUAGAAGUAGGACAACAAAAACAAGUCCUACGAGUUCCCUAGAAAAGACAUUAGACCACGCUCGGUUUCGUUUACGAAAUUAAUGUCAAUCCAAACCAAAUUAAAAUAAAUUUAGUUUGGUUCUGUUUGAUUAGAUUAUCAAUUUUUGAGUCUAUAUUAAGUGUUAUUGAACAAGUUUACCUCCAAUUCAACUUCUAUCUUCGAAAUGUGAGAGUUUAUUAUUUAGGGUUCAAUUUUCAGUCAUGAGAGUUUCAAUUUAGGGUUUCAGAAUUGGGAAUUACGUAAUUCAUAAGUGUAGGAGCUACAGCGGGUCACUCUCAAAUGCCAAAUUGGGUCAAUUUUUAAUGGGCUAUUGACAUUGGAUAGGCUGGGCUGUCAGUGUAGUGUAGUGCUAAAAUUCGUGUAUUCGGUUAUAUCGAAUUAAUUUUGUUAAAAAUUGAAAAUCGAAUCGAACAACUAAAAUUGCUCCAUCAAAUAAAAAAAUCGAUAUUGAAAUUUAAAAAAAUCCCGAAAUAUGCCCGGGCCUAGUUGUAAUUAACUCACAUGUCUGGAAUAAGUAUUUCUUACACGCCAGUAGUUUCAAAGGUAAAAAAUAUAUAUUAAAUAAAUCAUACACAUACACUGUACUAACAAAUUUAUUUUUUAUUUGAAUUCUAUAUAAUUUAAUAAGAUACAAUAAUAUUGAUGUAUUCGUUGUACUUUAUGUAUAAUAAAUUUAUCUUUUAUGUGAAUUCAAUGUUAAUUAGAAAGAUACAAUGAUUUUAAUAUAAUCAAAAUUAACCUUCAUUGAAUUUCAAUACAUGACUCUUUAAAAUAAAUAAAUAUUAAUUUAUGAGUAAAUAAUAUUUCUACAAAAUAAUAAUAUUUUAACGUAACUAAGCAUAAAAAUAAAAUAAUUACAAACAUAUACCCCUUUACAUUCAUACACUUACUAAAUACUUACAUUGUAUACCCCCAACUAAUUUAAAAAAUAUUACUUAAAUGACUAUGUGAGAAUUUCGAUUCAAUACUUAAAUUAGGACGUUGAUGCUAAACUUGUUAAUAUGACAAAAAAUAAAUAAAUAACAGGGACAUUCCUAUAUAUAAUCAUUCCACACCCUUCCACCCCUAAAUCAUACUCCCCCACCCUAUCCCACUCGUAUAUUAUUUUUCAUGAAAAAUAUUUUCUUACUUUCGAACGCACUCUGUACCAAAAUACCCCUUCACUGUAUAUGUAAUUUUCAAUCACUUCAAUUAUUAAUGGAGGAUAUAUCAUUUCCAUGGGAAGAAAUGUAUGAUUUUUGAGUGUUUCACAUUUAAACUUUGACUGUUUAAAUUACGUUAAGUUCGAGGCAUAUAUGACUUUAAUCCAUAAUUUCCACCUCAACUUACACAAAUUUAACUAAUCUGCUUAAAUAUGAAUAAUGUUCAUAAUUAUGAUACUAAGAAUAUAAAUAAAAAUAUAAGACUCACUGUCAACAAAAAAUUCUCAUUUUUUAAAAAAGAAACAUACUUAACAAUUGUUUUUUAAUCUUAAUUUCAAAUUUUAAACUUUUAAUCUCGACUUUACCUUUACAGCUAGGACAGGCUUGUUAAUCACACUUUUGACGUGGUCAUUACUUUCCUUUAUUUUUUAUGGAAAUAAUGAAAUCAACUAGUCUAUUAUUUGUGUAAAAUAAUUCUACAUACUUUCUCUUUCAAUCGUGACUUUUUUUUUUCCACACUAUAACAUUAAAAUGUCUCAUUGUGAGUUUUAACGUGUAAUAGAGGGCACAUUUUAACAAUAGAGGCGGAAUCAAGUAAGAGCAAGAGAUUCAUUUGAGUAUUUUUUGGUGAAAAAUUAUAUUAUAUAUAUGAGGUUAAUUUUUUUUUACAUUAAUUUUUUUUUUGUGUGUAUUUUUAGUUCAUUACAUAUACAUUUGUGGGUGAAAAUCAUAUGACCUUGUCACUAUUAUUGACAACCCCUUCCCUUCUAUAUAUACUUAAAUUAUGUCGAUUCGAAUAGCGGGUGUGGAGGAAAAUGAAAUUAAGUUAACGUUGAUAGUCUUAUAAGGACAAAGCAAUAUAUGUGAAUCUGAUUUUAAUCGAAUUAGUGGACGAUAAAUACUUAAUAGUGAAGCUUAAAAAAAACUAAAAACAUAUAGUUGUUUGAUUGAGAUAAAGUGGAUCAUGAAAGGUCGUGGACCACUUUGUUGUGACACUUUUUCGUGAAAAAUUAGAUGGAUAGAUUGGUGGUUUAAUUAUAAUACGUGUGGAGAAUUUUCUUGAUUUUUUAUAUUUUGAUUAUUUUUAAUGAAAAUUCAUGUUUUGCUACUGAUUACCAAAGCCAAAAUAUAAUGUAAUAAGAAAUGAAUUUUGGAAUUUUCCCUACCUAAACCCUUACAAUAAUUAAUAAAGUAAGGAUUGUUCAAAUUCGCAUAAAGAAAAUUUUUCAUUCUUAAUUAACCCCUUUCUGCACGCCAAAUGAAAUUGAAUAAAUCAAAAAUUAGAAUGGAUUUGAGUGUAAUAAAUAUAAUGAUAAAAGAACUUAUCUUAGUCCUAACUCGGCCACAAAAUAGCUCAUGAGGAGACACUGCCCAAGAUCGUAAAGGGAGGGCCUUAUGCAAUGUAACAAUAUUGUAUAAUUAUGUAUAUAUGAUGUAUAACUAUGUAUCAAAGAUGUAUAUACAUCCAUAUACUCUGUUUGUACAAUGUUUAUGCAUUGUAUCUGUUCAUCUUCCUCAACAAUGUGUUUUCUUGAAUCUCAACCAACUCAAAUCUUCUCUAAAUAUGACUCAACAAUUUACAGACGCGCAUAAUUUUAUACGUAUCGUGCCCCAAAGAAAGGGGAAAAAGAACAAAAUUUUUUUUAACACAAAUAAUUGAUUGAAUUCAUUGUUUACUUUCCAUUUUUGAUAUACAUAGAUUAUAUUAUUAAUUAUACACUUAUUAUUCAUGAAUUAAAUACAUAUAUUAUCUAUCCAUCCACUAAUUUUAAUUUCAUUCCUUGGAUUUCCACAUAUAAAAACAAUAUUUUUUUCCAGCAGCCCCUGUUGGUCCUUUGUGCCCCCACAAGUAAUCAGGUGGACUGAAAUGUAGUGCCAAUUAUCUCUAAUAAUUUCUGCAAUUUAAAGGAAUAAAUAGAUAAAUAUGGAUUUCGACAUAUAAAAACACAGCACAAAAUUAAUAAAAGUUUAAGUUGUGUUGGGAUAUUAGGUCUUGGGUCAACUUUUGUUAGUUAAAUGAGUUUGAUGAUUAGAAUACGCCAUAAUUAUUAUGAUAGUAAUAAUUUAAAAGUUCAAAUGAAAUAUCGAGUCAAAAUUAAGUGUAAUUUUUCGUGGAUUUACAUUUAUCUAAUUAUCUCAUUCGCCAUUUUCUUAUGUCGAUCACCACUCUCCUCUCUCGCUUGCCUCUCUUCCUGUAUCUCUGGUAUACAUGUACUUAAUACGAUUCUCAUGAUGUUUAUGGGGAUGAUUCACAUAUAUCUAGAUAUCUCGGUCGCCUCUCUUCUUUUUUCGCUCGUGUUUCUCAAUUGAAAAUGACAUAAAUAAGUCAAACUUUAAAAGAAUGUCAUAUACGAGCUUUUUCCACAAGUUUAACAACAAAUUUGAGCUUUUUUCCUUUAAGGGAUAAAACGAAAUUAAAUAUAUUAUAGUGGAUGUCAUUUGGAAAAUAAAACCAUAGAAUAUAAUUUUCUGAUACUGGAGAAGUGAUAAUUUUGUUCAUACACAUGGUCUUUUUUCCACAAUAAUUUUUCUAGAUGUUGAAUAGGUCAAUAAUAAAACACUAUAAAUAGACAGUUGCUUCAAAGCAGAGAAAUUCAUCAAAUAAAUCAUCACUUGUUGUAUUAGCUAGCCAUGGGAUUAUUGAAAAUCCUUCUUGUUUUCAUCUUCUGUUCUUUCCAAUGGCCUACUAUUCAGAGUAAUCUCGAGACUUAUAUCGUCCAUGUUGAAUCCCCUGAAAGCCUAGUUACUACUCAAUCAUCGUUAACGGAUUUAGGUAGCUAUUACCUUUCUUUUUUGCCUAAAACUGCUACCACAAUUAGUUCGAGUGGAAAUGAAGAGGCUGCUACCAUGAUCUAUUCCUAUCACAAUGUGAUGACAGGGUUUGCAGCAAGAUUAACUGCAGAACAAGUGAAGGAAAUGGAGAAAAAACACGGCUUUGUCUCUGCUCAGAAACAGAGGAUUUUGUCUUUGCACACUACUCAUACUCCAAGUUUUCUUGGUUUGCAGCAGAACAUGGGUGUAUGGAAGGAUUCCAACUAUGGGAAAGGCGUGAUCAUCGGAGUUAUAGACACUGGAAUUAUUCCUGACCAUCCUUCUUUUAGCGAUGUUGGGAUGCCUCCCCCGCCUGCUAAGUGGAAAGGAGUUUGUGAGUCCAAUUUCACCAAUAAGUGUAACAACAAGCUCAUUGGAGCCAGGUCUUACCAACUUGGUAAUGGUUCCCCGAUAGAUAGUAUUGGACAUGGUACACACACAGCAAGCACAGCUGCAGGAGCCUUUGUGAAAGGUGCUAAUGUAUAUGGCAAUGCUGAUGGAACUGCAGUUGGUGUUGCUCCUCUAGCCCAUAUAGCCAUAUACAAGGUGUGUAAUUCUGUUGGUUGUUCUGAAAGUGAUGUUUUAGCUGCCAUGGAUUCAGCUAUAGAUGAUGGAGUAGAUAUUCUUUCAAUGUCCCUUAGUGGAGGUCCAAUCCCUUUCCAUAGAGACAAUAUUGCUAUCGGGGCGUACAGUGCAACGGAAAGAGGAAUUCUUGUAAGUUGUUCUGCUGGAAAUAGUGGUCCAUCCUUUAUCACAGCAGUAAACACCGCCCCUUGGAUUCUUACGGUAGGUGCCAGCACGCUUGACAGAAAGAUAAAAGCUACUGUUAAGCUUGGAAAUGGAGAGGAAUUUGAAGGAGAAUCUGCUUAUCGUCCAAAGAUUUCCAACGCAACAUUCUUCACUCUAUUUGAUGCUGCAAAAAAUGCAAAAGAUCCAUCCGAAACCCCUUAUUGCAGACGAGGUUCACUCACUGACCCUGCUAUAAGAGGAAAGAUAGUAUUAUGUUCAGCACUCGGCCAUGUAGCCAAUGUUGAUAAAGGACAAGCUGUGAAGGAUGCUGGAGGUGUUGGCAUGAUUAUCAUCAACCCAUCACAAUAUGGUGUCACUAAAUCAGCUGAUGCUCAUGUUCUUCCAGCAUUGGUUGUUUCAGCUGCAGACGGAACAAAAAUUCUUGCUUACAUGAACUCAACAUCAAGCCCUGUUGCUACAAUUGCAUUCCAAGGAACAAUAAUUGGAGACAAAAAUGCUCCUAUGGUUGCUGCAUUUUCCUCAAGAGGACCAAGUAGAGCUAGUCCUGGAAUCUUGAAGCCUGACAUAAUCGGUCCUGGUGCUAAUAUCCUUGCUGCUUGGCCUACCUCCGUGGAUGACAACAAGAACACCAAAUCCACAUUCAAUAUCAUAUCAGGCACCUCAAUGUCUUGCCCUCACCUUAGUGGCGUAGCAGCUCUGCUGAAAUGCACACAUCCUGAUUGGUCUCCUGCUGUUAUUAAGUCUGCAAUGAUGACAACGGCUGACACGUUAAACCUUGCCAAUAGUCCAAUACUCGAUGAAAGGCUCCUUCCUGCUGACAUCUAUGCAAUUGGUGCAGGACAUGUUAAUCCAUCAAGGGCAAAUGAUCCAGGACUAGUUUAUGAUACACCAUUCGAGGACUAUGUACCUUAUUUAUGUGGUUUGAAGUACACAGAUCAACAGGUAGGUAACCUGAUACAACGCAGGGUGAAUUGCUCGGAGGUGAAAAGUAUCCUUGAAGCACAAUUAAACUAUCCUUCGUUUUCCAUAUUUGGACUUGGAUCAACUCCUCAGACAUAUACCAGAACUGUAACCAAUGUUGGUGAUGCUACAUCAUCUUACAAAGUGGAGGUAGCUUCACCAGAAGGCGUUGCCAUCGAAGUUGAACCCUCCGAGCUAAAUUUCUCCGAGUUGAACCAGAAGUUGACAUACCAAGUGACAUUUUCCAAGACAACUAAUAGCUCAAACCCUGAGGUUAUUGAGGGAUUCUUGAAGUGGACUUCUAAUAGGCACUCAGUGAGAAGUCCAAUUGCAGUUGUGUCUGCCUAGUCAAAAAUUGGCUAUAUAAGUGCAUUAAGUACUCGGACAUUUGAAAAUGCUGUUUGUUUAUAUGUUACUUUUUAAUAUUAUAUUAUUAAAUGUAUUGUUUCAAUAAACUUUAUGUUCACAGUUGAUUGAAGAAUGCAAAAGCAUAUCCUCUUUGAUGUUAGUGUCCAUGCACUUUUCUUCUUGAUUUCAUUGAUAAUAAAUAUUACUUGAGUGAUCAUGUAAGAUUUUCACUCCAUACUUAAAUUUGGGAAAUUUGCUGUCACCCUUUGAUCCAGAAUCUUGACAGUGACUUCAAAAAUAAAGUCUUAGUCUUCGGUGACUUCAAAAAGUAAUUGGGACGUUGAUGCUUUAACUAUAUUAGUAAGACAAGAAAAGUAAUAGAGACAUAUCCUAUGAACUUAAAUUUUUUAACAUAUUGUGGCCAAAUGAGAAAUCUAUAGCCAACUAUACAUGUCAAGUCCAAAUUCUACCAUUGAAGGGGACCAAUGUACAUAAUUUAUCUUCCAAAGAAAUUAAAUUAACCAAUACAUAUUUGGUUUUGUAAUAAUUUUCACAAAAAAACAAGAAUUACAGAAUGCAUUGUUGCUAUUUGUGUGUGGCCCAUCAUGUAUUGGUAGCAUUUUUUUACUAGUUAAUAGAGUAACGAUUGUCCAAAUUCGUAUAAAGAUAUCAUCAUUCUUAAUUAGCUCCUUUCUGCAUGCCCAGUGAAAUGGAAUGAAUCAAGAAUUAGGACGACGCAUAUAACUCUAAUAUAAUAAGAAAUGAAUUUGCCCUACCUAAACCCUUACAACUAGUAAAUAGAGUAAGGAUUGUUCAAAUCCGUAUAAAGAGAUAUUCGCAUUCUUAAUUAUCCGUAUAUGAUGUAUAACUAUGUAUCAGACAUGUAUAAAUAUUCAUAUAUCUCUGUUUGUACAUGCAUUGUAUCUGUUCAUCUUCCUUAACAAUGUGUUUUCUUGAAUCUCAACCAACUCAAAUCUUCUCUAAACACUCCGAAUGGUUUUGUUGUUGCCUAGCUCUUAUUGAAUUGUAUAUCUUUUGCAUAUAAGAAAAAUAUUUGAUUAUGAUAUAGGGACUCAACACUUCACGAUAGCGAAUAAUUUUAUAUGUAUCCUGCCCUAAAAGAAAGAAAAAACAAAAAAACUUUACUCGCCUCUCCUAUUUUACUCGCCUCUCUCCUCUCUCGCUCAUCCCUCUCCCAGUAUCCGGUAUAUAUAAGUUUUUGGUGUGAUUCUCAUAAUGUAUAUGGGGAUGAUUCACAUAUACCACAAUUGAAGGAGAUCAAUCUACAUCAUCCAUAAUUCACGUUUUGUCUUGCAAGUAAAUUAAAGUAACCAACUUUAGUUUUGUUAUUAAUCACACUUAGUGGCAUUUCUUUUGCUAUCUCUUUUAAUAUUCUUGUCCACAUUAUUCUUUUUUUCCCUCUAGCUAAAAUAGAGUGAUGAACAAUUAGGCAUUAUAAAUAGAGAAUUUGCUUUUAGUAGAUCAAAUUGUGAUUUAUUUUUUGAUUUUUGGUUGCUUUCAUUGAAUCUUUUAAUGUAUUUAGUUGAUUUUAAUUCUUAAAUUAAUGUAUACUUGAUUUGUUUCACCUUUAGGAUUCAUUACAAUUUUAUCGUGUAUAAUAUAUUCUUUUCAAAUAUUAACUUUUAUACAUAAUCCUAAUUUAUUGUACACAAAUUAGUAUAUAUUGUGUUACUAGUUAUGUAUUGGAUAUACAAAUAUUACAAAUUUCAUUUUCUUUUACUACCAAUACAUACACCCAACUUUAUUCAACUAGUAGAAGACUAUUAUUUCUAGGGAAAAGGGUCCGAUAUACUCCUCAACUUUAUCAUUUAGAGCUGAUAUACCCCUUGUUAUGAAAUUGACUCAUAUAUACCCCUACUUGUAAACAAAUGGCUCAAAUAUAUCCUUUUCCAUUAACGGAAAUGAAAAAAAUAAUAAUUUAAAUUUAAAUUUUUAUUAUUUUUUUCUAAAAAAAUAUAAUCCCAUAUAAGUAAAUUUAAUGCUCGUCAAAUAUAUUUUUUUGACUUUUUUUUGUUUCAAUGACUAAUUUAUAAUUAUUAUUUUGAUAAUCAAAUUUAUUUAUGUUUCAUUAAUAUUCUUGUAAAACUUAUUGUAGAUGACCAAAUUUUUUCUUCGAAUACGAAAUUAAAUUACAAAACACACAAAAAAAAUAGUUUAAUUUUUUAUUCUUUAAACUAAGGAAUGAAAGAAAAAGCAAAAUAAGAAUAAGAAAUUCAAAUAAUUAUAAUAAAAGAAGUCAAAAAAUAAUUUAUGUAUGAAAAAAAUUAAAAUAUACUUUGAACUUUGAUAGAAGAAUCAUAUAUACCCCUAAAUUUUUUUUAAAAAAAAAUUAGAAGUAAUAAAUAUAAAUUUAAAACUAAUUUUUUUAAAUUCGUUAAAUGAAGGGUAUAUGUGAGCCAUUUCGUAAUGGCAGGGGUAUAUGUGAGCCAUUUGUAUAACGGUAUGGGCAUAUAUGAGCCACUUUUAUAACGAGGGGUAUAUCAGCUCCAAAUGACAAAGUUGAGAGGUAUAUCAGACCUUUUUCCCUUAUUUCUAAAAUGAAAGUCUAGAGUUCGCUUGAAUUGACUUAAAAGUUGAUCAAAUCUACUUUUAAAGUCCUGUUUUAUUUUUUAUUUUUGAGAGUUUUGACAAAGCAGAAAAUAACUUAUAAUAAGUUAGAGAUGACUUUAAAAAAAAGUUAAAAAUUACAAGUAGCUACUUCCUUACUUUUCAUUUUUUAACUUAAAAGUUACUAAAGUUUAACUUUUAAAAAAAUAAGGAAAAAAGUCUAAAAUAUAUAUCAACUUUGACCGAAAUUAUAUUAACGAUAUCAAACUUUGGAAAUGACCUUUUACCCCUGUACUAUUUAAUAGUGUAUUUUAAAGGUAUAUAUGUAUCCACGUGAACAUCACAAAUAUUCCAUCAUUAAAAAUAGAAAGUCAUCAUAAAAUUUGAUAUGUAACAAUAAUUUCGACCAAAAUUGAGAUAUUUUUCAGACCCUUCUUCCAAAAAAUACUUUUUAUGACAAGAAAGUAACUGGGAUGUUGAGUCGUUGACGCUAAACUUAUUAUUAAUAUGACAAGAAAAAAUAGUCCUAUGAGUUUCCUGGAAAAUACAUUGUAAUUAAUUCACAUGGGCACUUUUUAUUUUUUUUUAACAUAUUGUGGCCAACUGAGAAAUUAUAGUUAGGAUUUUAAAUUGGAUUUUUAUUUCAUAUAUCCAUUUAAAAAUAAUUCAAUAUACUCCAUAACUAUAAUUUGAUAAUUACGAUUUGUAGCUAUAUAUAAGAGGGAGGAGAGAGGCGAGCGAGUGAGAUUGGGAGAGGGAGGAGAGAGACGAAUUGUAUAGGUCUAUCUAUCGAACUGUAUAAGUCUAUCUAUUAAAUAAUUAUAUAUUUAUAGCUGGUAUACGCAUGUACUUGUAUAUCUGGUGAGCGAGAUUGGGAGAGAGGCAAGUGAUAGAGGGUAGAGAGUGGAGAGAGACGAACUGUAUCUGUAUAGCUGUCAGAGGCAGAGAAUGGAGAGAGACUAACUGUAUUUGUAUAAUUGUAAUUAUUGUAUAUAUAUAUAUAUACUAGUUUCCGAAACGUGCGUUGCACGUUUGCCUCAUACAAUUAUUAUAAAGUUGAAUUAUUAUAUAAUGUUGAAAUUAGAAAUAUUAGUUUUACCAAUUUAUAUUUUAUUUAUUAAAUAAAAUUCAUAAUAAUCGAAUAGUACAUUGACCAUCAAACAAGAAAUUUUUUUAAAAUAAAUAUAUUAUUAUAGCAUCUAAUAAUAUGAAUAUAUCUAUAUAACUUAUUCUUAAUAAUCUCUCAUUACUCUCCAUAUUAGUAAGUACACAAAUGUGUAGCUACUUAAAGAAACUAUAUUAGUAAGGAAAGACAAAAGUAAAUAAAUAUUAUAAAAGUAUAUUUAAAAAUUAAUCUAAAUGUCAUAAAUUAGUAAUUUCAGCACUAAUAAAAAUAGCUUAUAACAUUCAUAAUUUCAUAGAAGAUUAUAUUAAAGAAGUAUAAUCGGUAAAGAAUACAAAAAAAAUUAAACAAAUAAGAAUAAAUACAACAUUUAUAUCCUUCUUAAGACUUUUAAUAUAACAAUAUAUAUAGUAAAAGAAAUACACAAGGAGUAAAAAUUUUUUCUCCCGUAACAAAAAAAAACAAUCUAAAAUAGUAAAGAUAAAAUUUAUGAUUCAAAAUAUCAUUCUAAUGAGGAUCAAUAAAUAUUAAUAUUUCAAAACAAAAAAAAGUACCUGUAAAUUGCAUAAUAAUUCACAUCAACACGAGGCAAAUGGUAAAGAACAAUUAUUUUUAAAUGAUACAUAUAUAUAGCUAAAGAUUCAUUGGAUAAGACGAAAAGGUGAAGAGUUGUUUAAGUUAAUUUUAGAAGUUGAAUGAUCUUACACAUGCGGUAGAGGAAAGAUGAUUGUUUUUACUAAUAAUUCAAUACAUUUAAUUAUACUAAUUACAGAGAGAGGAUAACAAAUUUAAUCAUUUAACCACAUUAAUUAUAGAGAAAGAAUUAAUAACUUUUAUUUUUUUUUAAAAAAAAGUAAUUCCUAACAAUUUUCUAUGAAAUAAUUUCUAACAAUUUUCUAUAAAAUAUUUUUGUGUUUCAAAGUUUGACUUUACACCUUCUUAGUUUUAGUAUAAUAUAAUUAUUACUUAGUAUGUAAAUAAUUAGAAUUUAAACUAUUGUGUCUAGAUGCAUGUAUUUAAAUAUGAUUAUAUAAUAUUAAAUUAAUUAUAUAUUAAUAUUUAAUUUAAUUUAGGGAUAAAAUAAGGACAAAAUGGUAAUUCAACUUUUAAGUUAAGAGCUUCCCACUUAUAAUAAUAAGAGUAUAUGUUAUAUCAUAAAAAAAAUCAUCUAGCAGACUAAGUACAAAUAUGUCAUAAAUAUUUUCUUGGGAUAGCUUAAUAUAUAGAGGUUGUGAAUAUAAUCGAAGACAUCUAUAAUCUUUUUCAACACAUCGCAUUAGUACCAAUUUAUACUCUAUCAAUAGUUAUUUCUCCAAACUCAAAAGAGAAUUAAAAAAAAUUAUAAAAAUAUUGAACCAAUGAUUUCUAUAAUCUGGCCAUGAACAAAAUUACACUAAUAACUUAUCUUUUAAGUCUAGCAGGGCACUCUUAUAAUCAAAGGUUCUGAUACCAUCAUUCUGCUAUCGAAAAAGAAAAGCAUAUCAAAGAAAACAUAAGAAUUUUCAGAAUGUUCAUUGAUGUAUUUUUUUUUGUACCCACAAAAUAAGAAUAUGCAAAAAUGAAACAAAAAGAAAAGAAAUAAUACAUACUUACUGGAGUAUCUCCGAUGAACAUAUGAAAUUAGGAGGAUGGUAGAUUAGAUUUUUGAAUGAUUAACAUAGAAUACACACAAUAUAUUAUAGUAAAUGAGACUCUUUGUUUCCCUUGUCUGUUAUGCUUUUUCAGUUGCAUCAUUUAAAUAUGUCUUCAUUAUUAUAUGAUAGAAUUACUGAAGGCUGAAACUAAUAAUUAUACAUGGUAAUUAAGAUACUAUAAAUUAAAAGUUUUACAUUUAAUAUUUAAAAAUAACUCCAAGAAAUUGAACAAAUUACAAAAAAAAAUCUCAUUAAAAUAUUUUUCUCACCUAUUAAAGCAUCAAAUUAGAAUUAAGGAAACAUAAAUCAACACAUGUAAACAAAUUAACAAUUAAUUAAUUUAUAAAUAGUCUAAGAGAUAAACUUCAAAAAAUUUAAACUAUUUAAAAAAAAAUAAUAACAGGAAAACGUGUCUUUAAGAUAAUUAAACUUUAUUAUAUACUAAUAUUUUACUAAUAACCAAUUAGAUGAUUUUUACUAUUUCAAUGCAAGGACAAGGGUAAGACUUUUCAAAUUUAAAAAUUAAGAGUAAUUAAGUUAAGACUAUAAAAUAAUUAGCAAUUUAUUUACUAAUAUUUAGUUACUUUGAUUAUGAUUUAGUAUAGGGGCAAAAUAGUAAUUCAACUUUUUCUUAACAUUCUUCCCACUUAUUCACAUUACAUGUUUAUUUUUGCAUGUCUGCUUAACGUCUGAAGCAGGAUCAGUAAGCAAAUCAUAACUCUUGUAAAUUUUAUUGCCUUUAUUCUUCACUUCUUUAGUAAGUGAAACAUGUACAAUCUUACGCAAAUUCGUGUAAUUUACUUUCAAGUUGCAGAGUAGGAAAUUACCUUGGAUCUAAAAGAAAUUCCGUUGGAAUAUAAUUGAUUCCUACUCUCAAAUCUGUUGCAGCACCAAGUUCAAUUAUUUUGAACGCGCAACAACCUGCUUCAGAGAGACAUUAAUUACAACUUACAAGUACGCAAUCAAACUCAACCAUUGUGAAUCAGGUCAGCACUUUGUUUUUCAAAUAAUAUGUAUAUCCAUACGCCUAUGCAGUUUAUGACAGAGCACUUUCAGUUGCUGAUCUAAAACCUUGGUAGGAUCAAUCUGAACCUCAAGGUUUACUCAUUUUUUCCCCUUGAUUUGUUGACUUUCAACGUUUAAUUCUUUGUUCGAUGUUAAUUUUUACACAUAUUAGUACACACACAUACUGUUGAAUAGUACAGUAGAAUGUAGGAUUUUCAACAUAGUUUAACUGUCCUUCAAUGUCUUUAACUCCUGCUGUUGUUCUUUGUUAAUGAUCAUAAAAAUUCCGAAAUCACAUUAAGCCAUAUUAUAAUGAAGAGACAGAAUGUGUUUUGGAGAACUAAAACACGAAAAUGAUUGAAAAGAGCAACAGAAUAGAGAAUUGACUCAAACUCUUCUUCUACUGCUUCUUUGUUCCUUAAAACAAACAAAAAAAACAGAACUGUCAACAACUCCAUUGCACAAUUGCUUUGUGAAAACUCGAAUACUUGGCCUCCAUCUCAUUCAUAAAAAGUUUAUAUUUGCAAUUAGCAGCAAAACAGAGCAAAACCAAAGCAUUAACAUCAAAAAUUGACUGUAACUAUUAGGCAACAAAAACAAAGCACCAAAAAUAUUUACCUAUAUACUGACACGCCUUCUCUCGCCACUUCGAAGACCUUUCAUGCAGCGAUGUCCACCAAACUCCUUUUCUGACAAAGAAAACCAGGAAGCUGAAGCAAUGCUGAGUAGUAGAGGUAUUCACGGACUGUCAAUGUUCCAAUAAGAGUAGUUUCUCUGUCAACAAAUCCCAGCAGCCAAAAAGUUCCAUAUCAAAAGGCAGAGCUCAUGAUAAAGAAUAGCUAAGUUCCUCAUCCAAAAAUAUUUACCUGUAUAUCAUCCAGACACAAAAAAGAGAAACAAUUUAAUGGACAAUAACAUGUGAUUUGAGACAUUUAUACAAAUGAUGAGAGUAGCUAAAAAGGUUUUGGAAGAAGAUGAUGAAACUUCAUAAUCGUCAGAAGAGAAGUGGAGCAGAUGACCGUUUCUGAAUAAUUAAAUUAGGGCUGUUAGGAAAUUAAAUUUAUAAUAAUCAAUAUUAAUAGGUUUAACUAAUAUAGGGUUAAUAGGUUUAACUAAUAUUUUUAAUAAAUUAAUAUACAAAUGAUAUUGUAGGGUUAAAAUGGUAAAUCAACUUUGGAGUUAAGAGGUUCAUGCUUACAAUAAUACUAGUUUUCGAAAACGUGCGUUGCACGUUUAUCCUAAAAUACUUCGUACAAUGUUUGUAGUGCAAAUAAUAAAUUUAAACAAUAUAUAUAUAUAUAUAUAUAUAUAUCAAGAAUUAACUAUUAUGCAUGAAAAAAUACUCCUUUCAAUCACAUUUGUUACCGACCCAAAGGUAUAUAUGUACAUUUCACAAAUUUCGUCAAUAAUUCAUUUCCUCGUAAAUUUAAAAAAUAAUGAAGUUACAGUGGUUCAUCAACUUAUAAGACACCAUUGGUUCUCUUCAUCUUCAUUUUUAUUCUCUUCAUGUUCAUUUUUUUCUUUCUUUAAUUUUUUUGUUAGUGAGUUGGAUUCACUUGUACAGAAUCACAUCAACUUUUUAUCUUGUAGGAUAUUUUAUUGAUUGUCAUGGAUGUAGUGAUAAAGCUAGAAGUCUUUCUUCUUGUCCUUGUGUAAAAGAUUUUUUUUUUGGAUAAUCCAAUUAAGUGUACCGUCUCAACUUCUAUAAAAUAAUUUUUAUUUAAAAAUCAAACCAAAAUUUUAUUAAGAACAUAUCAACUUACACAAAAAUAAUUAAUUGCAUAUAAGGAACAAUGAUUUAUUACCUGAAAAUUGAUACCACUUGAAAUAGUUCAAUCUGUGUUGCUUCACUUACUGCAUCAUCACUAUGAAAUAUUAGCGUCAUUUCUUAAUUGUAUCUUCAUAAAAAAAAAGUCAAUUUAAAAAAUUUAUUAGUAGUUGAAAUAUUCAACAAUUUAGAUGAGUUCAAAUAAAGAUAAAUAAAACAUUGAGCAUAACAAACUCAUAUAAAAAAAAUAAAUAAAGAUAACAUGAUUACAUGAGAAAGUAUAAUAUAUAAUAUAGGAAAUGGAGAAUCUGCUAAUAGAAGAUAAAAACGUUACAAAUUAAGUGAUCCAAGAAGUGACAUUUUGAUAUCUUUAGACUAACUGGCUAACACCUUAAUAUGAGUUUUCUUUUUUUUAAAUAAUAACAAUGGUUUAAAGAGCAUAAUAAAAGUAGGUAACUUAAAAGGAUAAAUCAUUAUUGCUUUAUUUUUUAAAUUAUUAAUUCCAAUGCAUGUAUACUUUUUUAUCUAGUAAAAUUUUAUCUAGAAAUUAAUUAUGAAUGCUUUCGCUCUUCCACCUUCCGAGGAUAUUAAAUAGUUUUUAGUGCAUUCAGCUUAUCAAUAAUGAAGAACGAUAAAUUUGCACUUCAAAGCUGAAUUUGGUUUUUAUUAUGUUAUUAAUUUCAGUAAGUAUAAUUUAAUAAUAUCAUAUGAACUAAUAUUUAAAAAUAAUUAACUAUUAUAGGAAUACAAUGGUGAUUCAACUUUGCAUUUUGGAGCUUCACACUUAUACCCAUGAGUGUAUUAUUUCUUAAAAGAUAAUAAAAUAUAUCUAAUUGAGAUUUCUUACUUUGUUUUACUACUAAUUGUGAUACUCCAAUUUUCUGACCUUGCGUCUCAUGUUAGUCUAUGUUGACUCAUUUGAAUAUAUAUAUAUAUAUAUAUAUAUAUAUAUAUAUAUAUAUAUAUAUAUAUAUAUAUAUAUAUAUAUAUAUAUAUAAACCUAAAAAAAUUUAACAAGUUAAGUUAGGCUUGCACAAUGUUUAGAGUGUUUAUUGUUUGUAUUUUAAAGAACAAAUAUGUGCUAUAGAUGUAACAAAUAUUAUGAUAUAUUUAUAUUUAAUAUAAUAUUUAUUACGAUUAUAAUUAUAUUUAAUUUUAUCUUUCAUAAAAUUAUAAUAUUAGUAUGCAAUAAAAUAAUUAUUGCUUUUGAAGGCCCUCAAUAUGAUGAUGGGUUGCUAGAAAUUUGAUAUUGAAGAAUGAUAUAUAUAUACAUGUGCAUAUAAGAAUAACCUCUUCUUUAUCUAUAGUAAAUUUAUAAGUGGUUAGAUAUUUAAAAUUUGAUUUUUCGUACUCAGAUAUAAGAUAAUUUCUCAUUAUUUUAAACUGUAACCCCCUUCUUCACUUUACAAAAUUAAAAAUCGUUUAUGAGUGACACCCCUUCAAUAUUUAUGAUGUCAUAAUGAUCCAACACUUGAAAGCGGUAAAAGUUAUUUAAAACUCUCAUCUGAGGUUGCAGAUUUGUUAAUUUGGAGAAUCAUAGUUAAAGUAUGAAUUUUUAGAAAUUGUUAGAUUAGUUUAAUUUUUAAUUAUAUUUCUAUUUUAUAAAGUUUUUAUUGAACUACUAAUAGAUAUUAAAAUUGAAACAUGAUUAUCAUGUUAUGUUUUGUAAGAACUAUAUUUAAUCAAAUUAAAUAAUUAAAAAAUUCUUUAUAAUGAGAUUUAAGAAUAAUAGAAAAUUUCAAAUUGCGCUUUAAAAAAAUAGUUCUUAAUCAUGAGCACGAGCUUAUUAUUUAAAUCACAAAAGACGAUUUUCUCAUUGCCUAAUUAAUAAUUGAUUCCUCAAAUAGAAACUAAAACACAUUAUACAAUCUACAAGUAAUAAUUUUCUUUAAAAUGAAAAUUGUCAGACCAAAAAUAAUAUAACAUGCAACCAAAGCUAAACAAAAUUAAUUAGCAUUGCAUCAAACGGUUGGUUAGAUGUGAUUUAUACUCCUAGCGAUAUAUUAUGUUAACAGUUGAGUAUAUAUAUUAGAUCAAAACAUCUUCAAUUACAAACUUCGAUUGCAAUUUCUUAAUAAUUUUCUUUUGAUCUCAUGACAUGUUAAAAACAACAGAAGAAAAUGAUAUUUAAUAUGAUAACAAUGAAUUUUUUUAAAUAAGAGUAAUUAUACAAAAAAAAAAUUCAUCUAAAGCAUGAAUAUAAUACGGAAAUUAAAAUUGAUUUCAACCUUCGGGAAGACUUGAACAUCCCUUCUGUCGUUGUAAACUCCAUUAGAAGAUCUAACAAUUUGUACACAUUUCUUUUCUAUAAACAACAAAUGAAGAUAAGGAAAAUUAGUAAUCAGUGUUAUGAACAGAAGCUAAAAGUGACUUAAAUAUAUACUAAAGGAUAAAAACAAUAGAAAUAUAGAAACUUUUUAAUUUCUUCCAAACUGUACCUAAAUAUCUUCAAAGUGUAUAGAUUGUUGUGUCAAAUACCGCAAUUUAUAGGACAUCAUUGAGUAAAAUCAAAAGUCUCAUAAUUAUGCCAUCAACUUCUUGAGAGUGUGGAAAGAUUAUGAAGGUGUGAAUAUUAAUGAUGAGAUAGUGAAGGUGUGAUAUUAAUACACAUUAUGACAAAAUUACACCUAAAACUGAUCAGAUAGAGAAAUGAAAAGUUUCUCUAAUACGUUUUCGUAAUAACUUUAUAAUUAAUUAUUUUUACAACUAUUCAUUCUCCUACUUUAUUUUAACAAUAAGUGAAUCAACUUAAUUAACAAUUUAAGCAUAUUUAAAAUUUAAUUAAUUAAUUAUUUUAUAAUAUUUUAAGUUAGUAUAGGGCUAAAAUGGUAAUUCAAGUGAAUCAACUUAAUUAACAAUUUAAGCAUAUUUAAUAUUUAAUUAAUUAAUUAUUUUAUAAUAUUUUAAUUUAAUAUAAGAUUAAAAUGGUAAUUCAACUUUUAAGUUUUGAGCUUCAUGCUUAUAAUAAUAAUAAUAAUAAUAAUAUAUAUAUGUAAUUUAUAUUUGUGUAUGUAUAAGUGACAUAAUUACAACUAAAAUUUAGCUGCAAGUCAUAAUUUAUUAGAACUAUAUUAACUAAUUAACUAGUAUACCUUACUUAUCCGUUCCUUUUUUUUAAAAAUAAUUUGUACAUAUUUUUUUUAUUAGUUUGUUAAAGCAAAUAUACUAUUUGAACAACUAUACAUGUCAAAUGUCCACGCAAGUCCAAUCUCCAUGUAACACGUUUCGUCUUGCAAAGAAAUUAAAUUAACCUAAACUUUAGAUUUGUUUUUAUUUUUUUUUAACUCGAUCAACUCAAAUCUUCUUUGAACCUUCCAAUUUUAUAUAUGAACUCAUCUCAUAUUUCAAGUCUAUUGAUAUAUUAUACGUUCAAGAUAUUUACGUUUGUGACACAUCAAAUUUUAAAAAUUUGAGUUUCAAAGCUCUUUAUAAGUUAAAGUGCUUGGAUGGAUGACUACUAAAAUUGAUUCUUGGAAGAAGGAUCUUGAAUAGAUGCGUGUCUUUGAGAACAUGCAUUGCAAUUUCAUUUAGACAAAAUAUUUGCAACUUUUUAUUACCAAGUGAUUUUACAGUAAAAAAUUUGUAUAUGGAAAGAUGUUCUUUGUAUCCAAAUAUAAUUAAGCAAAUUUACAGAGGAUGGUCUUCUGGAAAAUCUACAAAUUUCAUAAAGUUCAGUUUAACUAGUUUAUUCACGCCUGGUGAUUUAUAAAAAUAAACAAGUAAUUAGAGACAACUAAAAACAACAAAAAAAUUGUAGACAAAUAGUUAGAGACAGUUAGAUUUAUUAAUUUUAACUAUGUUGUCCACAUUAUUCUUUUUCUCCACUAGCUAAAUAAAGUCAUGAGCAAAGAUGAAGUAUAAAUAGACAGUUGCAUCAAAGCAGAAAAAUUCAUCAAAUACAUUAUCACUUCAGCCAUGGGAUUCCUCAAAAUCUUUUUUGUUUUCAUUUUUUGUUCUUUCCCAUGGCCUACUAUUCAGAGUGAUUUCGAAACUUAUAUAGUCCAUGUUGAAUCCCCUGAAAGCCUAAUUACUACUCAAUCGUCGUUCAUGGAUUUAGAGAGCUAUUACCUUUCCUUUUUGCCUGAAACUAUGUCCGCAAUUAGUUCGAGUGGAAAUGAAGAGGCAGCCAGCAUUAUCUAUUCCUAUCACAAUGUGAUGACGGGGUUUGCAGCAAGAUUAACUGCAGAACAAGUGAAGGAAAUGGAGAAAAAACACGGCUUUGUCUCUGCUCAGAAACAGAGGAUUUUGUCCUUGCACACUACUCAUACUCCAAGUUUUCUUGGUUUGCAGCAGAACAAGGGUGUAUGGAAGGAUUCCAACUAUGGGAAAGGCGUGAUCAUCGGAGUUCUAGACACUGGAAUUAUUCCUGACCAUCCUUCUUUUAGCGACGUUGGGAUGCCUUCCCCGCCAGCUAAGUGGAAAGGAGUUUGUGAGUCCAAUUUCACCAACAAGUGUAACAACAAGCUCAUUGGAGCCAGGUCUUACGAACUUGGCAAUGCUUCCCCGAUAGAUAAUGAUGGACAUGGUACACACACAGCAAGCACAGCUGCGGGGGCUUUUGUGAAAGGUGCUAAUGUAUAUGGCAAUGCUAAUGGAACUGCAGUUGGUGUUGCUCCUCUUGCCCAUAUAGCCAUAUAUAAGGUAUGUGGUUCCGAUGGAAAGUGUCCUGGCAGUGAUAUUUUAGCUGCCAUGGAUGCAGCUAUAGAUGAUGGAGUAGAUAUUCUUUCAAUCUCCCUUGGUGGAUCUCUGAGCCCUCUUUAUGAUGAAACUAUUGCUCUCGGGGCGUACAGUAUAACACAAAGAGGCAUUCUUGUUAGUUGUUCUGCCGGAAAUAGUGGUCCAUCACCUGCCUCAGUAGAUAACUCAGCCCCUUGGAUUCUUACAGUAGGUGCCAGCACGCUUGAUAGAAAGAUAAAAGCUACUGUUAAGCUUGGAAAUGGAGAGGAAUUUGAAGGAGAAUCUGCUUAUCAUCCAAAGACUUCAAACGCAACAUUCUUCACUCUAUUUGAUGCUGCAAAAAAUGCAAAAGAUCCAUCCGAAACACCUUAUUGCAGACGAGGGUCACUCACUGACCCUGCUAUAAGAGGAAAGAUAGUAUUAUGCUUAGCAUUCGGCGGUGUUGCCAAUGUUGAUAAAGGACAAGCUGUGAAGGAUGCUGGAGGUGUUGGCAUGAUUGUCAUCAACCCAUCACAAUAUGGUGUCACUAAAUCAGCUGAUGCUCAUGUUCUUCCAGCAUUGGUUGUUUCAGCUGCAGAUGGAACAAAAAUUCGCGCCUAUACAAACUCAAUAUUAAACCCUGUUGCUACAAUCACAUUCCAAGGAACAAUAAUUGGAGAUAAAAAUGCUCCAAUAGUUGCUGCAUUUUCUUCUCGGGGACCAAAUACAGCUAGUCGUGGAAUCUUGAAACCUGACAUAAUCGGUCCUGGUGUUAAUAUCCUUGCUGCUUGGCCUACCUCCGUGGAUGGCAACAAAAACACCAAAUCCACAUUCAAUAUUAUAUCAGGCACCUCAAUGUCUUGCCCUCACCUUAGUGGCGUAGCAGCUCUGCUGAAGAGCUCACAUCCUGAUUGGUCUCCUGCUGUUAUUAAGUCUGCAAUCAUGACAACCGCUGACACAUUAAACCUUGCCAGUAGUCCAAUACUCGACGAAAGGCUCAGUCCUGCUGAUAUCUAUGCAAUUGGUGCAGGACAUGUUAAUCCAUCAAGGGCAAAUGACCCAGGACUAGUUUAUGAUACCCCAUUUGAGGACUAUCUACCUUAUUUGUGUGGUUUGAACUACACAAAUUCACAGGUAGGUAAAUUGUUGAAACGCAAAGUAAAUUGCUCGGAGGUUGAAAGUAUCCCUGAAGCACAAUUAAACUAUCCUUCAUUUUGCAUAUCGAGACUUGGAUCAACUCCUCAGACAUUCACCAGAACUGUGACCAAUGUUGGUGAUGCCAAAUCAUCUUACACGGUGCAGAUAGCUUCACCUAAAGGCGUUGUCGUGAAAGUUAAGCCCCGCAAGCUAAUUUUCUCGGAGUUGAAGCAGAAGUUAACAUACCAAGUGACAUUUUCCAAGAGAACCAACAGCUCAAAGUCUGGGGUCUUUGAGGGAUUCUUGAAGUGGAAUUCUAACAAGUACUCUGUGAGAAGUCCAAUUGCAGUUGAGUUUGCAUUGGCUACAAAGUAUUCAGACAUUUGAAAAUGCUGUUUGUUUACACAAUUAACUUUAUGUUACUUUUUUCAUAUAUAUUAUUAAAUGUAUUGUUUCAAUAAACUUUACGUUCACAGCUGAUUGAAGAAUGCAAAAGCAUAUCCUCUUUGAUAUUAGUGACCAUGCCCUGCUCAACCUUUUCUUGAUUUCAUUUUUUUCAACAAAUAAAGUGACUUCUCGAGAUAAUAAAUAUUAGUUGAGUGACCGUAAAAGAAUCUCAGUUCAUAAUUAAGCACCCUUUGAUCCAGAAUCUUGACAGUGACUUCAAAAAUAAAGUCUUAGUCUUUGGUGACUUCAAACUUAUUAAUAAGACAAGAAAAAUAAUAGAGACAUAUCCUAUGAAUUUCCUGGAAAAACUGUUACGUUGUAAUGUUACGUAAACCCUUACAACUAGUUAAUAAAGUAAGGUUCGUUCAAAUCCUUAUAUAAAAAAAAAAGAUUCUCAUUCUCAAUUAGCCCCUUUCUGCACCCCCAAUGAAAUGGAAUGAAUCAAGAAUUAAGGACAAAUAUGACUAAUAUAAUAAGAAAUGAAUUUGCCCUACCUAAAUCCUUACGAUUAGUUAAUAGAGUAAGGAUUGUUCAAAUCCAUAUGAAGAAGAAUUCAUUCUUAAUACUCGGCCUCAAAAUAACUCACGAGGAGGAGGGGCUUCUUAUGUAAAUGUUCACCCGACAAAAAAAACUUUCUUACUAAAAUGGUCGUAGUAUAUGUAAUAUAUCGAUAUUUGUAUGAAUAAUGUAUAAUUAUGUAUAUAUAGUAUUUAUACAUUGUAUCAAUUCAUCUUCCUCAAUAAUGUGUUUUCUUGAAUCUUAAAUUUUUAACCAACUCAAAUCUUCUCUAAUCAUUCCAAGUAGUUUUGUUGUUCGCUAGCUCUUAUUGAAUUGUAUAUCUUUUGUAUAUAUAUAUAUAUAUAUAGAAAAGAUUUGAUUAUGAUAUAGGGACUCAACACUUUAAGAGUUGAUGUUCAUUUCAUUCUCUAAAAAUAUGAAAUAGAGAUACUUUCUUUAAGCAAAAGGAUAAAUUAUAAAAUCAAAUUAAAGAGGAUUGAUCGAAGAAUAACAUUAACUUGUUGAUGCUUAGCUUAUUCAUAUGAUGACCAAAAAAAAAAAAAAACUUCGAAUUUCCUGCAAAAGACGUUGUAAUUAAUUCACAUGGAUAUUUUUUAUUAACAUAUUGUGGCCAAAUGGACUUACUAACACAAAUAUAAUAUAAUAGUACUAAAUUAAUAUUCGGUAUAUUAAUAGUUUAUCUAAGACAAUAGGUUUUUUCAUGUCUUGAUUUGUGUCAAUGAAAAAAAUCACUCAUUUCAAUAUGAUAAUAUGACAAUAUAUUUUCAGAAGACCCUAUAUAAAUAUACUAUCCCACUAAUAUUAUUUUUAAAAAUAUGAAUAUAUCUAAGAUAAUUUAAGUGAAAUGUGAUUUUAUUAUCUUUCUUAAAAAUUUAAAUCUAGUUAAAUUCAUGUCUAAUUUUUUUAUUGCAUCCAAAAAUUCUAGUGUUGUCACGACUACAAAUUAUCUUCCUGAGUGCGCCUCCUAUGUUGACACAUUUUAAAUGAGAAACCAUUUAUGCAUAUGGUUACAAAAAUUUCCUAUGUUGCUUAUAUAAUUUAUUCUCUCAUCAUCGUACAUUGAAUAUUUCUUGUGAAGAUACAUUGAAUAAUAUUUUGUUAUUAAGAAACAAUGACCAUUAUAUAUAGUGAAUUUGUUUUUACGAUGAAUCACUGAAUUUUUGAAUUUAUUUUAUAAUGAAUCAUUAAAAAAUAUAUAUAUAUUACCGUGAUUCAUACAUAUACAUUGUACUUUGUGUAUAAUGAUUUUUUUUUAAAUAUAAGUUCAAUAAAUAUAAUGUAUAAUUUAGUAAGAUAUAAUGAUUUUGAUAUAUUCACUGUACUUAUUAUAUAUAAUAAAUUUAUUUCUUAUGUGAAUUCAAUAAAUAUGAUACAUAAAUUAAUAAGAUAUAAUUAUUUUAAUGUAAUCAAAAUUGACCUUCAUUGAAUCUCAAAAACACUCUUUAAUUAAUAAAUAUUAAUUUAUGAAUUAAAUAAUACCUUUGUAGAAUAACAAUAUUUUAUGAUCUCACAUGUAUUAAUUUAAUGAGAUUUUAAGGUAUGCGAGCAAAAUCUACUAAAUUCGAUCAAAUCUGCGUGCAGGUUACUAGCUCUACCCUUCACGUUAUACCAACUAUAUAUGUCAAAUGUCCACGCAAGUCCAAUUGAAGGAGAGCAAUGUACAUCAUCCAUCAUUCACGUUUUGUCUUGCAAAUAAAUUAAAUUAACCAAUUUUUAUUUUAGUAUUUAAAAUUAACCAAUUUUAGUUUUAUAAUUAAUAUUUUUAAUCUCGACCAACUGAAAUCUCCUAUGAGCACCUCGAAUUUUAAAUUUGAGCUCCUCUCAAUAUUUCAAGACUAUUAAUAUAUUAUUCGUUCAAAAUAAUUGAUGACUAUUGAAAUUAAUUCUCGGAAAAGGAUCUUGAAUAGUUACAUGUUCAUGCAUUGCAACUUUAUUUAGACAUAAUAUUCGCAACUUUUUAUUACAAAGUGAUUUAACAGUUAAAAUUUGUAUGGUAAAAAGAUGUUCAUAUAAUUAAGCAAAUUUACAGUGGAAAGUCUUUUGGAAAAUCUACAAAUUCAUAGAAUAAAGUUCAAUGUAACUUUAGUUUCAUUCACUCUUAGUGGCCUUUCUUUUCUUUUUCUUUAAGUAUUAAUUUUAAUUUUCUUGUCCACAUUAUUCUUUUUUUCCACUUGGAAUAAAAUAAAGUCAUGAGCAAAGAUGAAGUAUAAAUAGACAGUUGCAUCAAAGCAGAAAAAUUCAUCAAAUACAUUAUCGCUUCAGCCAUGGGAUUCUUCAAAGUCCUUCUUGUUCUCAUCUUUUGUUCUUUCCCAUGGCCGACUAUUCAGAGUGGUCUCGAGAUUUAUAUAGUCCAUGUUGAAUCCCUUGAAAGCCUGAUUUCUACUAAAUCAUCGUUAACGGAUCUAGACAGCUAUUACCAUUCUUUUUUGCCUAAAACUACUACCGCAAUUAGCUCGAGUGGAAAUGAAGAGGCUGCUACCAUGAUCUAUUCCUAUCACAAUGUGAUGAAAGGAUUUGCAGCAAGAUUAACAGAAUCUCAUGUGAAGGAAAUGGAGAAGAAACGAGGCUUUGUUUCCGCUCAGAAACAGAGGAUUUUGUCCUUGGAUACUACUCAUACUCCAAGUUUUCUUGGUUUGCAGCAGAACAUGGGUGUAUGGAAGGAUUCCAACUAUGGAGAAGGCGUGAUCAUCGGAGUUAUAGACACUGGAAUUCUUCCUGACCAUCCUUCGUUUAGUGAUGUUGGAAUGCCUCCUCCGCCUGCUAAAUGGAAAGGAGUUUGUGAGUCCAACUUCAUCAACAAGUGUAACAACAAGCUCAUUGGAGCGAGGUCUUACCAUCUUGGCAAUGGUUCCCCGAUAGAUGGUAAUGGGCAUGGUACACACACAGCAAGCACAGCUGCGGGAGCUUUUGUGAAAGGUGCUAAUGUAUAUGGCAAUGCUAAUGGAACUGCAGUUGGUGUUGCCCCUCUUGCCCACAUAGCUGUGUAUAAGGUAUGUAGUUCUGAUGGCGGUUGUUCUGACAGUGAUAUUUUAGCUGCCAUGGAUUCAGCUAUAGAUGAUGGAGUAGAUAUUCUUUCUAUAUCCAUUGGUGGAUCUCCCAACUCUUUCUAUGAUGACCCUAUUGCUCUUGGGGCAUACAGUGCAACGGCAAGAGGUGUUUUUGUAAGUUGUUCUGCAGGUAAUAGAGGCCCUUUGCUUGCCUCAGUUGGAAAUGCAGCCCCUUGGAUUCUUACAGUAGGUGCCAGCACGCUUGAUAGAAAGAUAAAAGCUACUGUUAAGCUUGGAAAUGGAGAGGAAUUCGAAGGAGAAUCUGCUUAUCGUCCACAGAUUUCCAACUCAACAUUCUUCACUCUAUUUGAUGCUGCAAAACAUGCAAAAGAUCCAUCGGAAACCCCUUAUUGCAAACCAGGGUCACUCAAGGGCCCUGUUAUAAGAGGAAAGAUAGUAUUAUGUCUAGCAGGCGGUGGCGUCUCCAGUGUUGCUAAAGGAAAAGUUGUGAAGGAUGCUGGAGGUGUUGGCAUGAUUGUCAUCAAAACAUCACAAUAUGGUGUCACUAAAACAGCUGAUGCUCAUGUUCUUCCAGCAUUGGAUAUUUCAGAUGCAGAUGGAUUAAGAAUUCGUGCCUAUACAAACUCAAUAUUAAACCCUGUUGCUACAAUCACAUUCCAAGGAACAACAAUUGGAGAUGAAAAUGCUCCAAUAGUUGCUGCAUUUUCUUCUCGGGGACCAAGUAGAGCUAGUCCUGGAAUCUUGAAACCUGACAUAAUCGGUCCUGGUGUUAACAUCCUUGCUGCUUGGCCUACACCCGUGGAUGACGACAAAAACACCAAAUCCACAUUCAAUAUUAUAUCAGGCACCUCAAUGUCUUGCCCUCACCUUAGUGGUGUAGCAGCUCUGCUGAAGAGCGCACAUCCUGAUUGGUCUCCUGCUGUUAUUAAGUCUGCAAUCAUGACAACGGCUGACACGUUAAACCUUGCCAAUAGUCCAAUACUAGACGAAAGGCUCCUUCCUGCUGACAUUUUUGCCACUGGUGCAGGACAUGUUAAUCCAUCGAGGGCAAAUGAUCCAGGACUAGUUUAUGAUACCCCAUUUGAGGACUAUGUACCUUAUUUUUGUGGUUUAAACUAUACCAAUCGAGAGGUAGGUAAAAUGUUACAACGUCAGGUGAAUUGUUUGAAGGUGAAAAGUAUCCCUGAAGCACAAUUAAACUAUCCUUCAUUUUCCAUAUUCAGACUUGGAUCAACUCCUCAAACAUAUACCAGAACUGUGACCAACGUUGGUGACGCAACAUCAUCUUACAAAGUGGAGGUAGCUUCACCAAAAGGCGUUGCCGUGGAAGUUAAGCCCACAGAGCUCAAUUUCUCUGAGUUGAACCAGAAGUUAACAUACCAAGUGACAUUUUCCAAAAGAACCAACAGCUCAAACUUUGUGAUUGUUGAUGGAUUCUUGAAAUGGACUUCUAAUAGGCACUCAGUGAGAAGUCCAAUUGCAGUUGUGUUAGCUUAAUCAAAAAUUGGCUUUAUAAGUGCAUAAGGACAUUUGAUUGUAGUGAAAAUGCUGUUUGUUUUCACAAUAUUUUAUGUUACUUUUACAUUAUUAAUUGUAUAUUUACAGCUGAUUGAAAAAUACAAAAGAAUAUCCUCUUUGAUUAAUGCACAUUAAUUUCUAUUAGUGGCCAUGCCCUGCUCAACUUUUCUUCUUCAACUAGACAAUAGCAAGCACGAGCCUUAGGUAAAUAAAUAUGAUUAUAAUUCAAUUAAUUUAAAUAAUAAUUAUUAAAUUGAAUUCAUUUAAUUUGAAUAUGAUUUGUUAUAGUUCUAUAAUUUGAAUUUAAGUCAAUGGGUUGAUGAGUGCUUAAUCUUUCAUAAAAUGAAGGGUUCAAAUUUUAGUAGCGUUUUAUUCUUAACAUUAAUUACUUCUAAAUUAUUUUCCAAGAAUUAAUACUUGUUAGAAACAAUAAUUGGAAAUGUGAUUGACGAAGAAGAUAGGUUUGAGGCGUGUAAAAUCACUUUAUUUAAAGAGACAUUCAUCGUAUACAUAUUGGAAAAUACAAACAAAUCCCUCUUCGAUACAAUAAAAUCCUAUAUUUAUACAUGCAAUUUUUUCUUAUACUACUUAUAGAGAGUCUUUAUUAUAUUUGUAGAAUUUAAGAGAUGACUUUUCAUAAGAGUCAUGUUUUUUCAUGAAUAUAUGACUUUUCAUAAUAGUCAUGUCCUUUCAUGAUCAGAUGAUUUUCAUAAGAAUCAUGUUCUUUCAUGAUGUGUCAAUUUAAUUUAAAAAUUCUAUAUUACAAAAAAUUCAACAAUACUAACAUCAAUUAUUAGGAUUAUUAAUGUGGUAAAAUAGUAUUAGAAAAAAUAAUCUUCAAUAGUCAUAUCAAGCAUUGUUUUCUUAAUAGAUAUGUCAAGUUCAAAUGUGAUAAAUGAAAAGUAGAUUAAACUAAAAAGUAUUAAAAGAGUUAAAAGAUUUAAAUUAAUAAAUACACUCUUUUUGUUUAGGAUUUUUUUAAAAGUGUGUAAAUAAAAUAUAAACUAAUAAUAUGAAGGAAUAGAUUCAUUAAUAAUUGUGCACAGAUAAUUUCUCUCUUAAUAUUAUGCACAUAUGGAAUAAACCAAAAAAAAAAAGUUUUAAAAUAUAACAACUAAUCAUGAAAUGACAAAGCACACAUUUUGAUACCUCAAAUUUAAACUCACUCUUCUAUUAUAGUAAAUUUCAUUAUUUUCAACAAAUAAAGUUCUUAGUCUUUGGUGACUUCGAAAAUUAAUUAGAACAUUAAUGCUUAACUUUAUCAAUAAGACAAGAAAAAUAAUAGAGACAAUAUCCUAUGAAUUUUCCUAGGAAAAACAUUUGUAAUAAUUCAAAUGAAAUGUUGCUAUUCGUGUGUUGCCCCUCAUGUACUAGUGGCAUUAUUUUAUACUUUAGAAAUAAAUUUGCACUGCCUAAACCCUUACUACUACUUAAUAGAGAAGGAUUGUUCAAAUGCGUAUAAUAAAUAUUCUUAUUCUUAAUUAUCCUUUUUUUGUACGAUCAGUGAAAUGGAAUGAAUCAAGAAUUAGGACGAAUAUGAUUCUAAUGUAAUAAGAAAUGAAUUUUGGAAUUUUCCCUACCUAAACCCUUACAAUAAUUGAUAGAGUAAGGAUAGUUCAAAUUCGCAUAAAAAAAUAUUUUUUUUCUUAAUUAACUCCUUUCUGCACGCUAAAUGAAAUUGAAUGAAUAAAAAGUAUGAAUGGAUUUGACUCAAUAUCAUAAUAAUAAUAAUAAUAAUAAUAAUAAUAAUAAUAAAAACUUAACUUAGUCCUAAAUCGACCUCAAAAUAGCUCAUUAAGAGUCACUGCCCAAGAUCGUAAGGGAGGGCUUCAUGCAAUGUAUCAAUCUUGUAUAAUUAUGUAUAUAUGAUGUAUAACUAUGUAUCAGAGAUGUAUAUACAUCCAUAUACUCUGUUUGUACAAUGUUUAUGCAUUGUAGUUCAUCUUCCUCAACAAUGUGUUUUCUUGAAUCUCAACCAAUUCAAAUCUUCUCUAAAUAUGACUCAACACUUUAUGAACGUGCAUAAUUUUAUGCAUAUCGUGCCUCUACGGGUAUACAAAAACGAACAGAAAACCGAACCAAAUCGCAAAUCGAGUUAACCCCCCAAAAAAACCCGAUUAGUGGUUUGGAAUUGAAAAAAAAAAUUGACUGUAUUUGGUUUUAACUAGAAAAAAUCAACUCGACAUUAUAUAUGUUAUUUUAAAUUUAUUUUAUGUAUAAAAAUAUUUACUUUGAUAUGAUUUUAAAAUAUUUUUUGUAUUUUUUCAUAAUUUUAUAAAUUUAAUAUACUUAGAAUUUGAAAUGUCCAACAACUAUUAUAGUUCAUAGAUGUUGAUAAUUAUAAUAAUACUUAAAUCAUAAUUAAAUUUAUAAUAAUGCAAAAAGAAAAUCAAUUCAACACUAAGAAUGACAAUAAUAUUGAAAAUUUGUUCUUUAGUUUUACAUUAGUUUAGAUAAUUAACAUACAUAGUUAAUUCUAAUUUUUCUUAAAUAGUUAGUAAUGUAACUAAUACUUAUUAAACUUAUUUUAACAUGAUUUAAUACUUUCAAAUUACGAUCAUUUUCAUUAUGACUUUACAAUAUUUAUUUUGUAUGAUGAUUUCAUUAUUAUUUAAUGUAAUAUUUUUGAGUCAUCAAUACUCCUCUCAUGUUUUGUAUAUUUUUUUUAAGAAACACCUUAGAUAAUAGUACUUUGGUUGGACUAAAGAAAAAUCUGAAGCACAAGUUAAUUAUAUGUUUGUAUGUAAACUUUACCGAAAAAUUCAAAAAACUGAAAAAAGUUCAAGGUUUAUUAUUUGGUCUGAUUUAUAAAUUUAAAAAUUCGCCACAAUGAUUUCGUUUGAUAUUUGUAAAAGCCGAACCAAUCCGAGGUUGAAAAACUCAAAAUAUUCAAAUUUUAUAAGUUUGGUUUGGUUUAUAAAUUUAAAAUUUUUAUACAAAUGAUUUAGUUUGGUAUUUGAAAAACCCGAACCAACACAAUCAUGUACACCCCUACGUGCCCCAAAGAAAGGAAAAACAAAUAAUUAUUUUUAACACAAAGAAUUGAUUGAAUUCGUUGUGUACUUUCCUUUUUUGAUAUACAUAGAUUAUAUAUUAAUUAUACACUUAUUAUUCAUGAAUUAAAUACAUACUCACUUCGUCCUAAUUUAUGUGACAUUGUUUCCUUUUUAGUCAGUGUCAAAAAGAAUGUCACAUUUCCUUAUAUGAUACGACAAGUAUUUAAAGGUACAAUUUCUCUUUUAUUUUUAUUGGUCCUGCUUAAUUUUAAAUAAUACUCUAAUACAUUUAUGAAGAGACAGAAACGUCAAUUCACUUUUGAAGGACAAUAUGGUAAACAAUUCAAAAAGUCUUCAUGUUGAAUGCCUUGAAUUGAGCCUUAGUUAUCUGUCAAUUAUGUAUUUUGGGCCCAAGCCUGUUAGGGCGUAGCUUAGCACUAUAUAUAGACGCUAUGACAAACCCUAUUCUGUAAUUCUGUUUUUGCCUUUCCGUAAUAAAACUGCUCCCCUCUUUCCGUGGACGUAGCCAACUUAUUGGUGAACCACGUAAAUCUGUUGUCUUGUUUUUCGCGUUUAUAUUUUCUCGUAUUAUCUCGAAUUCCGCAUAAUAAAUUGGUAUCAGAGCCUCCCGGUUAAUCGGUGUUCUUGGAGAAUUUCGAGAUGUCUGCUUUGAACGUGAGGUAUCAUUUUCUGAGAAGUGAGAAGAGAAUCAAGGUGAAGAAAGUAGGAACUGCUGAUAAUCUUGCUGAUAUGUUCACAAAGCCGGUUCCACAGAGCAAGUUUCAACACUGUUUGGACUUGCUCAACAUCAGAAGCUGUUAAUUGCCCUGCGGGGCAAUUCUGAGGAAAAGGGGGAGGCCUGGCACUAUCAUAGUGCGUCUGAAGAAUCUGUUUGGAGAAUUCAAGUCAAGGUGGAGAUUUGUUGAAUGCCUUGAAUUGAGCCCUUAGUUAUCUGUCAAUUAUGUAUUUUGGGCCCAAGCCUGUUAGGGCAUAGCUUAGCACUAUAUAUAGACGCUAUGGCAAACCCUAUUCUGUAAUUCUAUUUUUGCCUCUCCAUAAUAAAACUGCUCCCCUCUUUCCGUGGACGUAGCCAACUUAUUGGUGAACCACGUAAAUCUAUUGUCUUGUUUUUCGCGUUUAUAUUUUCUCGUAUUAUCUCGAAUUUCGCACAACAUUUCAUUUAUUUUUUGAACUAUGUGUCAGGUCAAAUAAUGUCAUAUAAAAUGGGACGAAUGUGAGUAUAUUAUAUAUCUAUCCACUAUCAGUUUUAUUCCUUGGAUUUCCACAUGUAAAGACAAUAUUUUUUUCUAGCAGCCCCUGUUGGUCCUUUGGUGCCCCCACAAGUAAUCAAGUGGACUGAAAUGUAGUGCCAAUUUUCUCUAGGAAUUUCUGCAGUAAUUCAAAGGAAUAAAUAGAUAAAUAUGGAUUUCCACAUAUAAAAACACAACACAAAAUAAAUAAAAGUUUAAGUUGUGUUGGGAUAUUAAGUCUUGGGUCAACUUUUGUUAGGUAAAUGAGUUUGAUGAUUAGUAUACGCCAAUUUUACGAGAAAUUAUUAUGAUAAUAAUAGUUUAGAAGUUCAAAUAAUAUAUGAAGUUAAAAUUUAAAUUAAGUGUAAUUUUCUAUCGAUUGACAUGUAUGUGAUUAUCUCACUCGCCUCUUUCUUAUCUCCUGUAGACAUGUAGUUAAUACGAUUUUCAUGAUGUUUAUGGGGAUGAGUCACAUAUAUUUGGGUAUUUCGGUCGCCUCUUUCCUUUUUACGCUCGUAUUUCUCACUAUUUUUUUUAUUUGGUAGCAAAAAUACAUAUAUAUAUAUAUAUAUAGAGAGAGAGAGAGAGAUUAGUGUAUCUGACUUAAUAUCUGUAAUGAAACUGUAAAUUAGUGAAACUAUAUAUACAUAAUUAUUUCAAACUAUAAAGAAAACUAGUAAAUAUUAUAGAAAUAUUUAUGUAAUUAGAUAAUUUCAGUUUUAUUUCUCGGAUGGUUCUCGCAUUAGAAAGUACCUACUUUCACCUUGGUAUACCUCUAUUGAAUAUGACAUGUUUCUAAUGUUCUUUUAUCACAUUCAAGUGCAUCGAUGUGUCUUUUCUCAAUCGAAAAUGACAUAGAUAAUUCAAAGAAGGAUUCGAAAUAGCUGCAUGUUUUCGAACACUUGCAACUUUUUUUAUAACAAAGUGAUUGUUUAACAUUAAAUAUAUUAUAGUGGAUGUCAUUUGGAAAAUAAAACUAUAGAAUAUAAUUUUCUGACCCUAGAAGUGAUAAUUUUGUUCAUACACAUGGUCUUUUUUCCACAAUAAUUUUUCUAGAAGUUGAAUAGGUCAAUAAUAAAACACUAUAAAUAGAGAGUUGCUUCAAAAGCAGAAAAAUUCAUCAAAUACACUGUCCAAAUACAUCAGCACUUCUUAUAUUUGCAGCCAUGGGAUUCUUGAAAAUCCUUUUUGUUUUCAUCUUUUGUUCAUUCCCAUGGCCUACUAUUCAGAGUAAUCUCGAGACUUAUAUCGUCCAUGUUGAAUCCCCUGAAAGCCUAAUUACUGCUCAAUCAUCGUUAAUGGAUUUAGAUAGCUAUUACCUUUCUUUUUUGCCUAAAACUACUACCGCAAUUAGCUCUAGUGGAAAUGAAGAGGCUGCUACCAUGAUCUAUUCUUAUCACAAUGUGAUGACAGGGUUUGCAGCAAGAUUAACUGCAGAACAAGUGAAGGAAAUGGAGAAAAAACACGGCUUUGUCUCUGCUCAGAAACAGAGGAUUUUGUCUUUGCACACUACUCAUACUCCAAGUUUUCUUGGUUUGCAGCAGAACAUGGGCUUGUGGAAAGAUUCCAAUUUUGGAGAAGGCGUGAUCAUCGGAGUUCUAGACACUGGAAUUCUUCCUGAUCAUCCUUCAUUUAGCGAUGUUGGGAUGCCUCCCCCGCCUGCUAAGUGGAAAGGAGUUUGUGAGCCCAAUUUCACCAACAAGUGUAACAACAAGCUCAUUGGAGCCAGGUCUUACAAACUUGGCAAUGGUUCCCCGAUAGACGAUGAUGGACAUGGUACACACACAGCAAGCACAGCUGCGGGGGCUUUUGUGAAAGGUGCUAAUGUAUAUGACAAUGCUAAUGGGACUGCAGUUGGUGUUGCUCCUCUUGCCCAUAUAGCCAUAUAUAAGGUGUGUAACUCUGUUGGUUGUUCUGACAGUGAUAUUUUAGCUGCCAUGGAUUCAGCUAUAGAUGAUGGAGUAGAUAUUCUUUCUAUAUCCAUUGGUGGAUCUCUGAGACCUCUUUAUGAUGAAAGUAUUGCUCUCGGGGCGUACAGUGCAACACAAAGAGGCAUUCUUGUUAGUUGCUCAGCAGGCAAUAAUGGUCCUUCGCCUGCCUCAGUAGAUAACUCAGCCCCUUGGAUUCUUACAGUAGGUGCCAGCACGCUUGAUAGAAAGAUAAAAGCUACUGCUAAGCUCGGAAAUGGAGAGGAAUUUGAAGGAGAAUCUGCUUAUCGUCCAAAGAUUUCCAACUCAACAUUCUUCACUCUAUUUGAUGCUGCAAAAAAUGCAAAAGAUCCAUCUGAAACCCCUUAUUGCAGACGAGGGUCACUCACUGACCCUGCUAUAAGAGGAAAGAUAGUAUUAUGUUUAGCAUUCGGCGGUGUAGCCAAUGUUGAUAAAGGACAAGCUGUGAAGGAUGCUGGAGGUGUUGGCAUGAUUGUCAUCAACCCAUCACAAUAUGGUGUCACUAAAUCAGCUGAUGCUCAUGUUCUUCCAGCAUUGGUUGUUUCAGCUGCAGAUGGAAGCAAAAUUCGUGCCUAUACAAACUCAAUAUCGAACCCUGUUGCUACAAUCACAAUCCAAGGAACAGUAAUUGGAGAUAAAAAUGCUCCAAUAGUUGCUGCAUUUUCUUCUCGCGGACCAAGUAAACCUAAUCCUGGGAUCUUGAAACCUGACAUAAUUGGUCCUGGUGUUAAUAUCCUCGCUGCUUGGCCUACUUCUGUGGAUGACAACAAGGACACCAAAUCCACAUUCAAUAUUAUAUCAGGCACCUCGAUGUCUUGCCCACACCUUAGUGGGGUAGCAGCUCUGCUGAAGAGAACACAUCCUGAUUGGUCUCCUGCUGUUAUUAAGUCUGCAAUGAUGACAACCGCUGACACAUUAAACCUUGCCAGUAGUCCAAUACUCGACCAAAGGCUCCGUCCUGCUGAUAUCUAUGCAAUAGGUGCAGGACAUGUUAAUCCAUCGAGGGCAAAUGAUCCAGGACUAGUUUAUGAUACCCCAUUUGAGGAUUAUGUACCUUAUUUAUGUGGUUUGAACUACACAAAUCCACAGGUAGGUAAAUUGUUACGACGCAGGGUGAAUUGCUCGGAGGUUGAAAGUAUCCCUGAAGCACAAUUAAACUAUCCUUCAUUUUGCAUAUCGAGACUUGGAUCAACUCCUCAGACAUACACCAGAACUGUGACCAAUGUUGGUGAUGCCAAAUCAUCUUACACGGUGCAGAUAGCUUCACCUAAAGGCGUUGUCGUGAAAGUUAAGCCCAGCAAGCUAAAUUUCUCGGAGUUGAACCAGAAGCUAACAUACCAAGUGACAUUUUCCAAGACAAUUAACAGCUCAAUGUCUGGGGUUGUUGAGGGAUUCUUGAAGUGGAAUUCUAACAGGCACUCUGUGAGAAGUCCAAUUGCAGUUGUGUUGGCAUUGGCUAAGUAAGUGCACAAAGUAUUCAAACAUUUGAAAAUGCUGUUUGAUUACACAAUAAACGUUCUGUUACUUUUUUCAUUGUUAAAACAAUAAACUUUAUGUUCACAGCUGAUUGAAGAAAGCAAAAGCAUAUCCUCUUUGAUAUUAGUGUCCUUGCUCUGCUUAACUUUUCUUCUUGAUUUCAUUUUUGUUCGACAAAUAAAGUGACUUCUCGAGAUAAUAAAUAUUAGUUAAGUGAUCGAGUAAGAAUCUCAGUUCAUACUUAAAUUUGGGAAAUUUGUUGUCACCUACAUAAUAACACACCCUUUGAUCCAGAAUAUUGACAGUGACUUCAAAUAUAAAGUCUUAGUCUUUGGUGACUUCAAAAAGUAAUUGUGACGUCAAUGCUAAACUUAUUAAUAGGACAAUUAAAAUAAUGGAGACAUAUCCUAUGAAUUUCCUAGAAAUCGAUUGAACUUUUAUUUUUUAACAUAUUAUUGAAGGGGACUAAUGUACAUCAUCCAUGGUACAUAUUGUCUUGCAAAGAAAUGAAAUUAACAAAUACAUAUUUUGUUUUGUUAUAAUUUUCAAAGAAAAAAAGAACUAGAAUUAUAGAAUGCAUUGUUGCUAUUUGCGUGUGGCCCAUCAUGUAUUGGUGGCAUUAUUAUACUAAGAAAUGAAUUUUCCCUACCUAAACCCUUACAACUAGUUAUUAGAGUAAGGGUUGUUUAAAUUCAUAUAAAGAGAUGUUCUCAUUCUUAAUAAUUUUUCUACUCGCCAAGUGAAAUGAAAUGAAAUGAAUCAAGAAUUAGGAUGAAUAUAACUCUAAUAUAAUUAGAAAUGAUUUUUUCGUACCUAAACCCUUAAAACUAGUUAAUAGAGUAAGGAUCGUUGAAAUCUACAUAAAUAGAUAUUCUCAUUCUUAAUCAACUCCUUUAUGCACGCCCAAUGAAAUUGAAUUAAAUAAAAAAUUAGAUGAAUUUAUCUCGCUUUAAAAAGUACCAACUUUUUUUACCUUGGUCCACUUUGAUUGAAUAAGUCAUUUUUCUAAUGUUCUUAUCGCAUUGAAGUGCAUGGAUGAGCCUUUUCUCAACUGUAAAUAACAUAGAUAAGUCAAAUUUUUAACGAAUAUCAUGUAUAAGACCUUUCAUAAAGCUUGGCGAUAUUUUAAGGCUUUUCCUUUUAAGGAAAAAAAAUAAAUUAUUUUUAACGGAUGUCAUAGAUGAGCCAUUAAUUAAAGCUCGAUGACAUAUUUGACUCUUUUCCCUUUUAGGGAAGAAAAGAAAAUAAAGAAGAAUAAAACUAUAGAAUAUAGUUCAAUUUAGCUAGUCUCAUUCACACUACUAACCUUUCUUUUCUUCUCCACAUGGUCUUUUUGCCACAAUAUAAUAGUUUUUUUUCUAGAAAUUGAAUAGGUCACUGACAAAACACUAUAAAUAGAGUUGCUUCAAAGCAGAUAAAUUCAUCAAAUAAACUUUCUAAAAACAUAAUCAGUUCUUGUAUUAGCAGCCAUGGGAUUCUUGAAAAUAUUUCUUGUUUUCAUCUUUUGUUCUUUCCCAAGGCCUACUAUUCAGAAUGAUCUCGAGACUUAUAUAGUCCAUGUUGAAUCUCCUGAAAGCGUAAUUUCUACACAAUCAUCGGUAACGGAUUUAGAUAACUAUUAUCUAUCUUUUUUGCCUAAAACUACAACAAUCAGCUCAAGUGAAAAUGAAGAGGCUGCUAGCAUGCUCUAUUCCUAUCACAAUGUGAUGAAAGGGUUUGCAGCAAGAUUAACAGCAGCACAAGUGAAGGAAAUGGAGAAUAAACACGGCUUUGUCUCUGCUCAGAAACAGAGGAUUUUCACCUUGCAUACUACUCAUACUCCGAACUUUCUCGGUUUGCAACAGAACAUGGGCUUGUGGAAGGAUUCCAACUAUGGGAAAGGCGUGAUCAUCGGAGUUAUAGACACUGGAAUUUAUCCUGACCAUCCUUCAUUUAGCGACUUUGGGAUGCCUCCUCCGCCUGCUAAGUGGAAAGGAGUUUGUGAGUCUAAUUUCAAAACCAAGUGUAACAACAAGCUCAUUGGAGCGAGGUCUUACCAAAUUGCUAACGGUUCCUUGAUAGAUGAUACUGGACAUGGUACACACACAGCAGGCACAGCUGCAGGAGCCUUUGCAAAAGGUGCUAAUGUAUUUGGGAAUGCUAAUGGCACUGCUGUUGGUGUUGCCCCUCUUGCCCACCUAGCCAUAUAUAAGGUUUGCAAUUCUGAUGGUGAGUGUCCUGACAGUGAUAUUUUAGCUGCCAUAGAUUCAGCUAUAGAUGAUGGAGUAGAUAUUCUUUCAAUAUCCUUGGGUGGAUCUCCGAGCCCUUUCUAUGAUGACUGUAUCGCUCUUGGGGCAUACAGUGCAACAGAAAGAGGCAUUCUUGUAAGUUCUUCUGCAGGCAAUGAAGGUCCUUCUGUUGCCUCAGUGGAAAAAGCAGCCCCGUGGAUUCUUACAGUAGGUGCCAGCACACUUGAUAGAAAGAUAAAAGCUACUGUUAAUCUCGGAAAUAGAAAGAAAUAUGAAGGAGAAUCAACUUAUCGUCCAAAGAUUUCCAGCUCAACAUUCUUCACUUCUAUAUGAUGCUGCAAAAAAUGCAAGUGAAACUCCUUAUUGCAGACCAGGAUCACUAACUGACCCUGCUGUAAGAGGAAAGAUAGUAUUAUGUCUACAAGAUGAUAUUGUUUCCAAUAUUGAAAAAGGACAAGCUGUGAAGGAUGCUGGAGGUGUUGGCAUGAUUAUCAUCAACCAGCCAAGUUACGGUGCCACUAAAUCAGCUGAUGCUCAUGUUCUUCCAGCAAUGGAUGUUUCAGCUGCAGAUGGAACAAAAAUCAUUUCCUAUAUGCACUCAACAUCAAACCCUAUUGCUAGAAUCACAUUCCAUGGAACAGUAAUUGGAGAUAAAUAUGCUCCCAUUGUAGCUGCAUUUUCUUCUCGCGGACCAAGUGAAGCUAGUCCUGGAAUCUUGAAACCUGACAUAAUCGGUCCUGGUGUUAAUAUCCUUGCUGCUUGGCCUACCUCUAUGGAUGGCAACAAAAACACCAAAUCCACAUUCAAUAUUAUAUCAGGCACCUCAAUGUCUUGCCCUCACCUUAGUGGCGUAGCAGCUCUGCUGAAAAGCACACAUCCUGAUUGGUCUCCUGCUGCUAUAAAGUCUGCAAUCAUGACAACCGCUGACACGUUAAACCUUGCCAAUAGUCCAAUACUAGACGAAAGACUCCUUUUUGCUGACAUCUAUGCAAUUGGUGCAGGACAUGUUAAUCCAUCGAGGGCAAAUGAUCCAGGACUAGUUUAUGAUACUCCAUUUGAGGACUAUGUAGCUUAUUUGUGUGGUUUGAACUACACAAAUCCACAGGUAAGUAAACUCUUACAACGCAAAGUGAAUUGCUGGGAGGUUGAAAGUAUCCCUGAAGCACAAUUAAACUAUCCUUCAUUUUCCAUAUCCGGACUUGGAUCAACUCCUCAGACAUAUACCAGAACAGUUACCAACGUUGGUGACGCCAAAUCAUCUUACAAAGUGGAGAUAGCUUCACCAAAAGGUGUUGUCGUGGAAGUUGAACCCUCCGAGCUGAAUUUCUCCGAGUUGAACCAGAAGUUAACAUACCAGGUAACGUUUUCCAAGACAAUCAGCAGCUCACAGCCUGAGGUUGUUGAGGGAUUCUUGAAGUGGAAUUCUAAUACGUACUCUGUGAGAAGUCCAAUUGCAGUUGUGUUAGUAUUGACUACAUAAGUGCAGAAAAUGCUGUUUGUUUUCACUGUAUACUUUAUUUUACUUUUUCAAUCUUUUAUUACUAUUUUGAUUUUCACUGUUCUUUAAUAAUUUUAUCAUUAUGAAAUAUUGUUUCAAUGUUUGUUCACAGCUGAUUAAAUAAUAUGAAACCAUUGCUUUUCCUUUAUCAUUACAUUUUAUAUAUUUAUUUUCUUUUCUUUCUUGAUUUCAUUAUGUUCAUAGAAAAAAAAACGACUUUUUGAGAUAAUAAACAUAAGGUGAGUGACCAUGUGAGAAUUUUUGUUAUUACUCGAAUCUGAGAAAUUUGUUGUUAGUUACCUAAUAAUGUAGCCUUUAAUCAUGACUCCGAAUCUUGAUUGUGACAUACUUACUUCUAUUUUUCUUAUAUGAAUAACUUGAUUAAAAUGUAAUUAUCUUCGAGAAUAAAAAAUUUGUUAUGUUUAAUACCUUUAGUUUGACCGGUAUCGAUCUUAAUUGUAGUUUCUUUUCAUUAGCAAAUUGCCUAACGCUCUUUUUUUUUUUUUUUUGUGAACAAUGUAUCUUAUUGUUGUGAUAUUAUUAACCAUGUGAUUUAUUUGAAGUGUUUUAUUGAUCCCUGGUAAAGAUUAGUUGUUUUAUUUUAUUUAUUAUAAUAAAGUUUCUAAUUGAUUAAGUUAUUAUGUUUAUAUGUGACUCCUUUGUUUAGUAAAUGAUUUUGUGUAUGAAGUUAUUUAAUUCAUACACAGAAUAUUAAAAUUGUCGGUUCUUGUAAGUUACUAUCAUUGUUCACAAUCAAAGAUGAGGUAGGACAGAAUAUUGAUGCUUGUAUCACAAGAUUAAAAAUAAUUCGAUCUUAAUUAUGAGUAAUUCUAACUUCUUGUAUUAGUACAUUUUUAUGUAUUAAAUGAACCUAAUAGUGAUAUUAUUUUUUAUUCUAAUAUUAAUAAACAAUAUCUUUAGUCCAUUACAUGAAUUGAUAUUCUUAAUUUAAUAUAAUUAUUAUAAUCUAUGUAGUUUAAUUUAUUAUUUUAAUCUAUUAAAAUGUAAGACUCUAUUACGAGUCAAUAUAUUUUUAAUAGAUUGAAUGAUGAAAAAUCACAUAAAUAAAUAAUAAUUGAUUAAUAUAACCAUGUCUCAAAUUUGAGAUAGAAGAUACCCCAUUUUGAUUACUUAUAAGUUUUUCAUAUCAGACCCAGGAUUCGAUUUUCAUGUGAGACCCAGGAUUCGAGAUAAGAGAUAAGUUAAGUAUAAAAUAGAGGGUUAAACUAGUUAGUUAAUUAAAAUUUUUUCAGAAGUUUAUUUUAAUUGAUUAGUAUCGAUAAAUUUAAUGUGGAAAAUUAAAUAAAUUGUAGUAGUAAAUUUCGAAAUUAAAUUGCGAAGUAUAAUUACAAAUUUUAUUGGUACAAACUGCAAUAUGUAAUUUUAUUAAAAUAUGGUUAAUUCCUGUUUUUAUGAACUAAUAUUAUAAUGGAAAUUUACGAUACUAAAAUUGUGAUUUAUGUUGUAUUUGACUAAUUGAUAAGUUCAACAACCAUUAUGGAACAAGUAUUUCUUUUAUUUUUGUCAUGAAUGAAUUAAUAACUUUAUUUUGUUCAGUGCCGAGUUAACUGACACAGAAGAUUAAUGACAGAAUCAUUUUUUCUUUUCCGACCUUUUAAUUUUUGCCUUGUUCAUUCGAAUGAAAAUCCACGAAAAAUUAUAAAUUUUCUAAAAACAUUUUUACCAAAUCAACCAGGGAAACAAAAAAAUGGAGUAUGGAGCUUAAAGGGUACAAAAUAUUAAUAAAAAUUUCAAAACGGUAUAUAAAAUUUUAUAUUAACCAAAACGGUAAAAUCGCUGCAUCAACAACAAUUUACUUUCCGGAAAAAGCAAAAUCGCUGCAGAGGAAGCGAUUUUGCAAAAUGUGAAUUUUUUUUUUUUAAAAAAAUGAAAUCGCUACAUAGGCAACGAUUUUUAAAAAAAGAAUUUUUUUUUUUAAAUGGGGAAGUCGCUGCCUGGGCAGCGACUUUUAUAAAAAAAAAAUUUUGAAAUGUGCAAGUCGCUGCCCAGGCAGCGACUUGUAUAAUUUUUUUUUAAAAAAAAUUUAAUUUUUUUUCUUAAAAUAAAUGUGGAAACAAUGUGGAAUUUUUUUUUAAAAAAAAUUCUUUUUAAAGCAGCAAUUUUAUAAGAUAAAAAAAAGUUAUAAUAUUUUUUUUUAUAAAAUUGCUACUUUAAAUUUUAUUUUUUUAAAAUAAUUAUUUAUGGAAAAUCGCAGCGAUUUUCAUAUUUUAAAAAAAAAUUAUAAAUUCGCUAAGCGAUUUAAAAAAUUUAUAAUUUUUUUUAAAAUAUGAAAAUCGCUGCGAUUUUCCAAAAAUAUUAACCAAUUUAUAAAUUUAUAAAUUUUUUAAAUUGCUGCGAUUUUCCACAAAUAAUUUUUUUAAAAAAAUAAAAUUUAAAGUAACGAUUUUAUAAAAAAAAAUUAUUAUAACUUUUUUUUAUCUUAUAAAAUUGUUGCUUUAAAAAGUCUUUUUUUUUUUUAAAUUUCCACAUUGUUUCCACAUUUUUUUAAAGAAAAAAAUUUAAAAAUUAAAAAAAAAUAAAAAAUUAUACAAGUCGCUGCCCAGGCAGCGACUUUGCACAUUUCAAAAUUUUUUUUUUUAUAAAAGUCGCUGCCUGGGCAGCGACUUCCGCAUUUUAAAAAAAAAUUCUUUUUUUUAAAAUCGCUGCCGAUUUUCCUUAAAUAAAAAAAUUAUAAAUUAUAAAUUGCUGCCUAGGCAGCGAUUUUUUUUUUAAAUAAAUUAAAAUCGCUGCCUAGGUAGCGAUUUCAUUUUUUUAAAAAAAAAAUUCACAUUUUGCAAAAUCGCUGCCUCGGCAGUGAUUUUGCUUUUUCGGGGGAAGUAAAUCGCUGUUGAUGCAGCGAUUUUGCCAUUUUGGUUAAUAUAAAAUUUUAUAUACCGUUUUGGAAUUUUUGUUAAUAUUUUGUACCCUUUAAGCUCCGUACUCCAAAAAAAUGUAGCAUUAAAUGGUAUUAUAUUUAGUUAUAAUGUGAAUUCAUGAUAUUGAAUAAUAUUUUUUCUCUUAAAAUUCUAACCCUUAUACUAGUCAUACGUCUAUUCUCUUAAUUGCUACAAGUAAUAUAACGAGAUAGGAUUCUUUUUUCGAGUUGCAAGUGGUGAACUUUUUGGAACAAAAUGAGAAAUUACGAAAAACAAUGUUCACUAUUUAAAUUUUAUGGUCACAUUUUGGCAGAACAUACAUAUUUAGUUUAAAGAGAAAAAUCAAAUAAUUUGCAUGCCUGAUUCAAUUCGGUGGCAACACCAUAAUUUUAGUGAAAUAACAAUUAAAAACUACUAAAAAUAUUAAAGAACGUAAUACAUAACUCACAAUGUCAUGGAACAUUUCCAAAGUCAAGAAAAUAUUAAAAAAUAUUAUCUGUAUUUUUAGUAUCUAAAUUAAUAUAGUCCAUAAUGUUUUAAAGUAUAGAUUUGUAGCUAUUGAAAAAUGAUUAAUUAAGCUAUAAUAAUUUUAAAAAAUAAUUUUGAAGUGUCUAAUCUUGAUCAUCCUAUUUUAAAGAGGUCAGGUGUAACGUCUCUUUCUCAUGCUUAAUAAAUUUAUAGUUUACUCUUAAAUAAUUUAUUUAUUUAUUUUUGUAAAAAAAACAUAUUAUCCUAUUGAAGAUGAAGUUAUGACUUUUGGAGAAUAUAAGUAAUGUACACUAGAUAUAUGAUACAAUUAUCCAAACACCGAAUCUAAAAUUUUAACUUAAUGAGUUUUAUUUUUAAAGUUCUUAACAUUGAGUUCACUACAAUUUUAAAAUUAUGGUUGAUUUUGUCAAAUUAUUGGAAAAGAUCAAAACUUAUACAUAAAACUAAUUAGAAGUUAUUAUAUUUUAUUAUAGAAGUUGUUAACAUCAGCCUGUUGGGAUUUUUAAAUUUUGUUGAAAUUCCCUAUCACUAUCUCAGCGUUAGUUAAGAGGGAUGCAAUAGGGGAAUGUUAAAUGUACAUGUAUUAUACAAUUUUGGGGGAAAAGCUAAUAACAUUAUUUCAAGUCAUAUUGUACUUUUAUUAGUAUUAUUAUUAUAGUUCUGGUGUCUAGAUUAAUUUAUCGCACCUCAACUAAUUUCACAUCAUACUAGGUCAAAAUUCUAUUGUGGCAUCCGAAAGUAUUAGAAGGUAGCAUGUGGCGAUUGAGGCUAGUCAACUCCAGCUCAACAAUGCUCAGUUUGACUAAGUGCUCACUCAAAAGGCAAAAGUUAUGGCAGAGAUUGUGGGUUAUCCUAGGGUUCCAAGCUCUCAAGUGAUUUUUUUGGAUAUAUUUCUAGACUUUUUUAGGUCCCCGCAAGGAUGACCUAACGAUCGAGCCAUCACACAUUGGAGUAACCUUCUAGAGAUAUCAGGUUAAAAACUCAGCUACUAUACACUAGGUGUGUGAGUCCGUUAGCUCUAACAUAUAUGAGCACCUUGGCAAAAAUCACGUCCAUUAAGAAAUCAACAAACAUAAUGUGUAGUUUACUAAACUACCCUUGUUAUAUACUUCUCUUAAAAAUUGAACACUAUUAAUAUAAGGGUCUGGUUGAAAAACAUACUAAUUUUCGUCUUGAAUUUUUAACGUCACACUUAUUUUGGGACGGAGUGAGUACUUGUGAGAUGAACAAGACACCUCAUGUAUUAGUUAAGUCAUGCUCAAGUUGGCUUGAACACUACUUAAAAAGUAUAUUGUAGAUUAAUGACUUCAUCUAUAUGAUGUUGCUAUGCCAACUUCAUUAAAAAAAUAGAAGUUAAGUAUAAUAAAAUCGUUUUAGCGUAUAGAAUGACCAAUUCACAUUCUAUUUUCUAUUUAAUCCAAGAAUGACUAUUUCACAUUUCUAAAACUACCUUCUGACUUGCAAAUAAAAAAAUAAACUUCCAAUUUGUAUAUAUAGCCUCAAUGAAAAUUCAAAAAACACACACCACCAAAUAACAUCUCUUUCUUUAGUAGUAAAAUUAUGAUGGCUCAAUACAGUUCAGUUCUUACUAUAAUUGGGCUGAUUUGUGUGCUCUUUUCAUUUACUACUCAUGCAGCUGAACAGAACAAUUCACAAAUCUAUAUUGUUCAUUGUGAGUUCCCUUCUGGGGAAAGGACUGCAGAAUACCAAGAUUUAGAAAGCUGGUAUCUUUCUUUCUUGCCUACAACAACCUCCGUUAGUUCUCGUGAGGCACCACGUUUGAUAUAUUCCUAUCGAAAUGUCUUAACAGGCUUUGCAGCUAAGUUAUCAGAAGAAGAUAUAAAGGAAAUGGAAAAAAAGGAAGGAUUUGUUUCUGCACGCCCCCAGCAGUUUGUUAGUUUACACACCACACAUAGUGUCAAUUUCUUGGGGUUGCAACAGAACAUGGGGUUCUGGAAAGACUCUAAUUAUGGGAAAGGUGUGAUCAUCGGAGUUCUAGACACUGGAAUUCUUCCUGACCAUCCUUCAUUUAGUGACGUUGGGAUGCCUACCCCACCUGCUAAGUGGAAAGGAGUUUGUGAGUCCAAUUUUACGAACAAGUGUAACAAAAAGCUCAUUGGAGCGAGGUCUUACCAACUUGGCAAUGGUUCCCCGAUAGAUGGUAAUGGACACGGUACACACACAGCAAGCACAGCUGCAGGAGCCUUUGUGAAAGGUGCUAAUGUAUAUGGCAAUGCUAAUGGAACUGCAGUUGGUGUUGCACCUCUUGCCCAUAUAGCCAUAUAUAAGGUAUGUGGUUCCGAUGGCAAGUGUUCUGACAGCGAUAUUUUAGCUGCCAUGGAUUCAGCUAUAGAUGAUGGAGUAGAUAUUAUUUCAAUGUCCCUUGGUGGAGGUCCAGUCCCUUUCCAUAGUGACAAUAUUGCUCUCGGGGCAUACAGUGCAACAGAAAGAGGGAUUCUUGUAAGUGCCUCUGCUGGAAAUAGUGGUCCAUCCCUUAUCACAGCAGGGAACACCGCCCCUUGGAUUCUUACGGUAGGCGCCAGCACUACUGAUAGAAAGAUAAAAGUUACUGUUACACUUGGAAAUACAGAGGAAUUUGAAGGGGAAGCUUCUUAUCGUCCACAGAUUUCCGACUCAAAAUUCUUCACUCUGUAUGAUGCUUCAAAAGGUAAAGGUGAUCCAUCUAAAACCCCUUACUGCAAACCAGGGUCACUCACUGACCCUGCAAUAAAAGGAAAGAUAGUCAUAUGUUAUCCAGGUGUCGUUUCUAAGGUUGUAAAAGGACAAGCUGUGAAGGAUGCUGGAGGUGUUGGUAUGAUUGCCAUCAACCUGCCAGAAGAUGGUGUCACAAAAUCAGCUGAUGCUCAUGUUCUUCCAGCUUUGGAGGUUUCAGCUGCAGAUGGAAUCAGAAUUCUUACUUAUACAAACUCAAUAUCAAACCCUACAGCUAAAAUCACAUUCCAAGGAACAAUAAUUGGAGAUGAAAAUGCUCCCAUAGUUGCUUCAUUUUCUUCUCGCGGACCAAAUAAACCUAGUCCUGGCAUCUUGAAACCUGACAUAAUCGGUCCUGGUGUUAAUAUCCUUGCUGCUUGGCCUACCUCCGUGGAUGACAACAAAAAAACCAAAUCCACAUUCAAUAUUAUAUCAGGCACCUCGAUGUCUUGCCCUCACCUUAGUGGCGUAGCAGCUCUGCUGAAGAGCACACAUCCUGAUUGGUCUCCUGCUGCUAUUAAGUCUGCAAUCAUGACAACCGCUUACACUUUAAAC